rnacentral:lncRNA from 1 species
UUUUUUUAAUGUUGUUUGAAAUAGAAAGUAAAGAAUGAGAGAGAUGAAUGAAAGAUGAUUCAUUAGUCUUUAUUGAUGAUAGCAAUGGGGUAUUUAUACCCGGGCGGAAGUACACAUGUUGCUUGGGAGUCAAGUAACUUGAAGUUACUUAAGGACCAAGUUAUUACAUAGUUUCCUUGAGAGUCAAGGAAGUGCAUGGUUGCUUGAGGACUAACUAACCUAUCUAAGAAUUAAAUUAAUCCUAAUCAGCUUAAUUAAUAAGAAACUAAUCUAUUCUUAACACUCCCCCUUGUAUAAUGCCUCUUCUUGAGUAUAUGCAUCAUCUUCAUAAAUUCUUUGAAUAUUCUUGAAAGUCUCCUCCAAAAACCCCAUGGGAAAAAUACGAGGAGAAUUGUGCAGACAUGAUGCUAAAACUCCUUUAAACCCAGUGGGAAAAAUAAUAAGGAAAAAAUGAUGCAACGUAUAAUGAUUAUUGCCUCUUGAUAACUCAUAUGAGAAAAAACUUUGUAGAAGGAGAAAACUCAUUGGUGAGUUUAGAGAACAAUUGAUAUGUCUUGAGUACUUCCUUUAAAAAACCCAAUAGGGAAAAUAGAAAGUAUGACAUAUGAUCUUUGAUAAUAUAUUGCCUCAUUAAAAACCAUUAUGAGAAACUUUUGAGAGAAAAACUCAUAAGGGAAAAGAGUGCAUUUGACAUGCCAUUGAAAACUCCUUUAAAACCCAGUGGGAAAAUAUAAGGAGAAAAUGAUAUGGCAUAUACAAACACUUGUGUUUAUAUUGUCUCAUUAAAAACCUUUUAUGAGAAACUAUUAGGGAAAAACUCAUCAAGGGAAAAAGAGUACAAUAUAUGCAAUCUAAUGAUUGUUAAUAGGUUAUAGUUUGGGAGAUUACUCCCCCUGAACUUUGCAAAUAUGGAGGAUGUCUCAUACCAAUUUCAUUGACAUGAACAUAAAAUUGUGUAUAAUCUGUUGGAUUUUCACAAGAUUUUGUUUGCAAAUCAUUUCCUCACUUUUCUAUAAUCCAUGAGGAUAAGUAGUUUACGAGCAAUGUGAUUUAUGAUAUUGCUCUUCAUAUAACAUGUAGGUAUUGAGUAACACAAGUGGAAGUAUCUUGAUAAAUCAAGUUAUGUGAUUCUGAUAAAUCUCAACCACAUGAUUUUGAGUGUGGUUAAUCAUUCUGCCAAGCCAUGCAUAUUUUGCAAUACUUUUAGAUAAAACAAUUAUGUCAAAAUGAUAAGUGGGAAUAACCAUUAAAGUCCAUUUAGAUGACUUCCAUAUGGAGGCUAUUCCAAAAAAUUCAGUCAUUGAUAUGGCGUCAUUGGGAUCAAAUAAAAAGCCAAUAUCAUCAUAUCACAUUAUGGUCAUAUCUUGUAUUUCCUGAUGGAAUUGUCCAAUAUUUAUUGUGAGCUUAAGAUAUAAGAUGAUAUUCCAUAUAUCAAGCAUGUUACUUUUGUUGGGGGUUGCACUCUGAACAAACAUAGCAAAUAUGGUGUCAGGCCUGACAUAGUUUGCAAUCAUAUGAGUGCUUUGACAUUAGUGAGGUAUAGAACUUCAGGUCUUUAUGUCACUUCAUUAUUAACCCUAGGUAUGUACCUUAUCAAAGGUAGUAUGACCAUACAUGUCUUAUGUUGUUAUGAUAUAUCCACAUUGAACUUCUCAUAUAUGUUUUGGAUAUAUGUAGACUGAUAUGUAUUCUUGAGAGAAUGCUGAAGUUGUAAGCUUAAGCUAAAUUUGGUUGAAUCCAAAAUUUCCGUCUUGAGAUGAUUUUGUGUAUGUUUAUGUCUUGCAGAGACAUUGAUGAUGAAAUCAUCGAUAUACACUCAGGUGAUGUAAGGGAAUCAAAUUUUGGGAUUCCUUUAUUAACACAUGAACAAUCAUCAUCCUUUGAGUAAUCCUCUGAAGAAGGAACUCGUCUAGUCGGUAGUACCAUAUGAUUCACGACUAUUUCUAGUCAUAGAGUGACUUAUGAAGUUUUACACAAUACAUGUUGCGAUUUGUUUUUGGAUUCGGAAAUGAAGCCCUUCAGGGACUUUAAUAUAGAUUUCCGAAAUGAGUGACUCAUAUGAGUAUGUAGUCACUGCAUCCAUUAACUGCAUGGAUAAUAUUAUUUGUACUGCCAACGGUAUUUAUUAUCGAAACAUAGUUCCACUCAUACCAAGAAGGUAUGUUACAUCGUAAUCGAUGUUGGGUCUCUGUGUGAACCCUUUUGCUACAAGCCUCGCUUUUUCACCACCUCAUUGACUUUGUCUAUGAAUGAGAAGUUUUUAGUAUUCCAUAUGGAAGAUACUUAUGAGGAGUAUGUAUUACUGUGGUAAAUACCACUCUUUGAUUGGCGAGUGCUAUUCUUCAAUACUUGCUUCCUUUUAUGUGAACCAAUAUGAGUACAAGAGGCACUCUACCAUGGAUUUUGGUUCAGGGCCCAAAAGGUUAUAGCAAUCUUUAGAAGAAAUAUAUGUCGACAAAUGUAGACUUAUGUUAUAUGAUUCUAGAGGAAUCGCUGAAAUUUGUGGAAAUGUAUUUAUUCCUUUUAACUCCUUGUGAUUUCCUACAACAGUGGAGUCAAGGUGUUUCAAUGUCCCGACACCAAAACAUUUGUACACAUUUAUGCCAGGCUUUGGAUGAUGACCAUCCAGUGAGGUGUCUUUCAACUUGAUGUUGAAUUACAUUUACUGGUUCAGGAUUUGAUUUCCUCUGUUUCCGCGGAAGCAUAUGCGAGAUUAUAUCUCAUGUGGUCAAAUUUCUCCCCCUCUUGCUCUCAUUUGGGGAGAAGAGUGGUUUAUCAGGUACCUCCACUCUAUCUGACACUUUACUGUAGGAAUAUAAAUUUGAGUGACACCUUUGUCAUCAGUAAAUGUAUGUGGCAGAUUUGCAAUGAGUUGCAAAUAUGUGAUUCUAAACUUCUUGUUCAGAUUCUUUGAGUACGUGGAUAUAAGGACUGAAUGUCAAUAACAUGUCUAAUUUAUUUCUCGGCAUUNNNNNNNNNNNNNNNNNNNNNNNNNNNNNNNNNNCGGCAUUCUUUGUGGUACUAAUCUCCCCCUAAUGCUGGAAAUGUCCUUAUUGCUGAUGCAAUCAGCAUACGGGCUGUGAAUAAUUUUGAUUGACGGAUAAAUUAUUAUUCCUCACAUAGUUCCCUAAAUUUCUGUGAGAGCCCAUUGAUGUAUGCUGGAGUGGUGAUAUCGGUAUGUAACCAAAUUAUCGCAGAUAGGAAAUACUUUGUUGAUUUCCACGUAAUUACUACAAGGGGAAACUAGUAUGUUAUGCAGUUGGUAUGAUUUAGAUCAUACUUACGGUGUGUAAUGUCGUAUUUAUCUAGCAUCAGGCUAGUAAAUUACGAUUCUAUAAGUUUGGUCAUAUUAUUAAUUUAACUAUCUUUGAUAAGAUAUUGAACUAAACCUUUAUGUGUAUGUACAUAAAGUAUUAGGUAUAAUCAGACAUUGCUUGUGAAAUGAGUUCAACGAAGUUGUCCAUUCGAAUGGAUUUAUCCCUUGUUUAGGAUAACUAGCUUGCUUUUACUUUGAGAAUUUGAGAAAUUAAUUUAGUUAUAUAUUCAUGGUUUGUGUGACAAGAGACACACUGGAAAUCAUUUUAUAAAUGUUUCCAUGAGUACCAUGAAGUAUCUAUAUAAUACCACACAAUGGUUGAGUAAUGCACAUAUCUUCUGAAUGUGUUCAAGGAAGAAUGAGUUGGCCCAUUUAGAAUUGUAAGGUGGGAGUUCCUUAAAUUAAUUUUCCCUAUGGCACAUGUGGUGCACAUAAAAUCUGAUGAUUUGAGAAAUUUUGCAACUUGUUAAGUUGUGACCAAUAGAAUUGUCAGUUAUUUUCUAAUCAUCCCCAAACCAGGAUGGCUAAAGCUAUUAAGCUUAAUAUUUAAUUUAUUAAUACUUAGAAAAUCAUUGUGUACGCAACAAUAUUGAGUAUGAAUUGAUUCAUACAUUCAAAAUUUAUCAAAUAUAAUGUCCAAUAAAUAGGAUAUUGGACAUUACACUAUAUGUAGUAGCACAAGUAUAGGCUAAUGUUAUUUUGGGAAUAAUUAGGAUAUUCCAUGAGGUCACCCAUAUUACUGAAAAAUUAAUUAUGCAAAUAUAUCAUAGGCAUAAACGAAUUGAUCAUUCUUUUAUUACACUAUAUUUUUGGUUCUCCUUCUAAUGAAGAUUUGGAAACAAUCAUUUACGAGGAUAUUUCCUGGUUGUAUGUUUGCAAAUUUUCAACUAUCCCAAUGAACUUAUUUGCCUUCUUAAUAAAUUUAUGGUGUGGUUUGACCAUAUGUUUGACGGUUUGGUAAUCAUAUGUAUGAUAUUUAUGUAACCACACAUUUGACAAACUUGAGAGCUGCCUUUGUGAUCAUUUGAAAAUGAUCAAUUACCAAUUAAAAAGGUAAUUAUGUCAUUGGUUGUCUUUAGCCUCCACUUUACUUUGAAUUCCUCAUGGUUCUAUUUUGUAACCAUUGACUUGCAUAGUAUUCUCAAUGCUAGCAAAUAUUUGAAGCACCCGUUGGGUGAAUAUGAUGAUUUUAAGAAAUAACAUGUUUCUUUACCAUGAGAAUGGUAAUACCAUCAUAAGAGGAUGUAAAGUGUAUUAUGGGCUUUUCGAUCGGAUUCAAAUACGAAAAAUAUCUGAUAAUAAAAUCUCAACUUAAAGUUGAUUUUAUAACUACCAAAAUUGUAAGUUGCAAUAGACUUGAGGCCUUGAAAAACAAUUAUUGGGUUAUCAUUCCAAAUGUGCUCAUGGCAGCAUGUUCUCUUAAGAGAAAUAUUCAAGGUGAAUAUAUAUUCAUCCAUUAUGUACUUAGUUUGAGAACUAAGUGAACUUGGUGACACAUGAAAUACAUAUGAAUAUACUUAGCUAUUAAGAGAAUAGCCAUGACACAUAUUCCGAAGGCGGAGUUAUAGUGGCCACAAAUGCCACAUGUGGAUAUAAUGACUGAUGUCAUGAAUCAUCUUACGAUAAAUACUCCCACCUAACAUGAAUUUAAAGCAUUUGGAAAUGCCAGCCAUGUGUUACAUGAAAGUGCUAUUACAUUCAUUUUAAUUUACUUCUAUGAGUAAGAAAUAUAUAUUGAUAAAAUAAUUUGUUUGAGAACAACCAUGGCCAAGGUGAUCCUUGGUGAACCUAGGUGUAUCCUUCAAUAUACACUAGUAGAAAACAGGGCUACCUUUCGGCCAUGGCCAGCCCAUUAGUCCCGGUUCUUCAAGAACCGGGACCAAUGGGGGGUAUUAGACCCGGUUCGUGAGCCCAGGGGGCCGGCCGGGGCCUCGUGGGCAUUGGUCCCGGUUCGUGUGUAACCAUUUAUCCCGGUUCGAGCCACGAACCGGGACCAAUGGUCCUCGCUGCUGGCCCACAACCAUUGGUCCCAGUUCGUGGCUUGAACCGGGACAGAAGGGUUGGCUUUAGUCCCGUUUCAUGCCACGAACCGGGACAAAUAACUUGCCUACAUAUACCCACCGCCGCGGCAGAGCACUCCACGGUGCUCUGUUUUUGUCAAGCCGGCGAGGGGAGGGCAUUUGGGUGCUCUAGUUCACCUCCUAUGGACAUGAGGUGUUCGAUGAAAUGCCCGAGCCACACUAGUUAAGCUUUCUCCUCUCGAAACUCGACCUCCGAGCUCCAUUUUCAACGAGAUUUGUCUAGAUUUAGCGGUUCGUCAUGCCCCGUCCCCGCCCCGUCUUCACCGCCGUUGAUCGCCUACGCCGAUCUCGUCGCCGGCACCACCGUGGUGAGCCUCUUGUUCUUAUCUUCUUUCUGAAAGAAAAAAAUUCUGACUUCAGAUAGAUACUUGUCUAAUUUUCUUACUUUUAUUAUUCCUUGUUAUUAUAUAGUGCGAUGGUUUUGGUAUCCGCCCCCGUCGGCCCUCGUCCUGUCUAUGAUUCAGAUGUGGUAUAUAUUAUCUUUUCAUAACUAUUUGGUUCAUUUAUUGUUUAUGACAAUUAUGCCGACCAAUGUGACAUAGAUUUUAUUUAUCUAGGAGGUUGUUGAACCGAAAAUUCCAACCGACCCUAUUGUCAAGAGGUUAAAUUUAGUUGAAGAAGAAAACAAUUACUUGAAGGAAAAAAUAAGAAAAAUUGAGGAGGAGAAGAUGAUAUUGGAGUUGCAUGUUGCGGAUGUCAUCGAUGAUCACAAGAUCAAGAUGGAUGCAAUGCGGUUGAAGAUUAAAAAGAUUAGAAAAUAUGCCAUUCAUACCGAGGCUUGGUAUCAUUAUGCAGUUGGAUUAGUUGUUACCUUGGUUGCGGUUAUGAUCGCAUUUGUUUUUGCAUUGAAAUGUUUUACAUAAUUUCAAUGUAUGGUUUAAUUAGAUGCUCUGGAGAGCUAUAUGUUGUUCAAUGAUAACUAUGUAUGUACUUUGGUUUUAAUGCUCUCGAGAACUAUGUAUGUACUUUGGUUUCAAAGUUCAUUUCAAAUGCUUUUCAACUUCAUGGUCUUACAUCUUUGAAUGGUGCAUUUUGAACACAGAAAAACAAGGGAGUUCAAAUAAGUUCAAAAAAAUUGAAAUCCCUUUGUAACAGACGAGUNNNNNNNNNNNNNNNNNNNNNNNNNNNNNNNNNNNNNNNNNNNNNNNNNNNNNNNNNNNNNNNNNNNNNNNNNNNNNNNNNNNNNNNNNNNNNNNNNNNNAUGCUAUGUGGGUGAAAAUAUGAUACCAUGCCAACUUGGAACCUUUUUAGAGUUCAUUUCAAAUGCUUUUCUAUUUCAUGGUCUUAUAGCUCAAAAUAAUGAACAAAUGCAUCAAAAAUAACAAAUGAAGUCAAAAAGGGUUGUAAAUUGAUGAUGUGGCUUUAAAUGAUGCAUUUUGAACACAGAAAAACAAGGGGGUUCAAAUAAGUUCAACAAAAAUGAAAUCCCUUUGUAACAGACGAGUUUCCGUAUGAAACCCUGAUACUUCGAAGGAGAUUGUGUGUUUUGUACACGAAGUGCAUCCAGUUUUUGCCGUAAGCCUCUCUACUUUCUUGCACAUGCUAUGUGGGUGAAAUGAUGAUACCAUGCCAACUUGGAACCUUUUGAGAGUUCAUUUCAAAUGCUUUUCAAUUUCAUGGUCUUAUAGCUCAAAAUAAUCAGUAAAUGCAUGAAAAAUAACAAAUGAAGUCAGAAAGGGUUGUAAAUUGAUGAUGUGGCUUUGAGUGGUGCAUUUUGAACACACAAAAACAAGGGGGUUCAAAUAAGUUCAACAAAAAUGAAAUCCCUUUGUAACAGACGAGUUUCCGUAUGAAACCCUGAUACUUCGAAGGAGAUUGUGUGUUUUGUACACGAAGUGCAUCCAGUUUUUGCCGUAAGCCUCUCUACUUUCUUGCACAUGCUAUGUGGGUGAAAUGUUGAUACCAUGCCAACUUGUAACCUUUUGAGAGUUCAUUUCAAAUACUUUUCAAUUUCAUGGUCUUAUAGCUCAACAUAAUCAGUAAAUGCAUGAAAAAUAACAAAUGAAGUCAGAAAGGGUUGUAAAUUGAUGAUGUGGCUUUGAAUGGUGCAUUUUGAACACAGAAAACAAGGGGGUUCAAAUAACUUCAACAAAAAUGAAAUCCCUUUGUAACACAUGAGUUUCCGUAUGAAACCCUGAUACUUUGAAUGAGAUUGUGUGUUUUGUACACGAAGUGCAUCCAGUUUUUGCCGUAAGCCUCUCUACUUUCUUGGACAUGCUAUGUGGGUGAAAAUAUGAUACCAUGCCAACUUGGAACCUUNNNNNNNNNNNNNNNNNNNNNNNNNNNNNNNNNNNNNNNNNNNNNNNNNNNNNNNNNNNNNNNNNNNNNNNNNNNNNNNNNNNNNNNNNNNNNNNNNNNNGGCAUGGUAUCAUCAUUUCACCCACAUAGCAUGUGCAAGAAAGUAGACAGGCUUAUAGCAAAAACUGGAUGCACUUCGUGUACAAAACACACAAUCUCCUUCAAAGUAUCAGGGUUUCAUACGGAAACUCGUGUCUUACCAAGGGAUUUCAUUUUUGUUGAACUUAUUUGAACCCCCUUGUUUUUCUGUGUUCAAAAUGCAGCAUUCAAAGCCACAUCAUCAAUUUACAACCCUUUCUGACUUCAUUUGUUAUUUUUCAUGCAUUUACUAAUUAUUUUGAUCUAUAAGACCAUGAAAUUGAAAAGCAUUUGAAAAGAACUCUGAAAAGGUUCCAAGUUGGCAUGGUAUCAUCAUUUCACCCACAUAGCAUGUGCAAGAAAGUAGAGAGGCUUACGGCAAAAACUGAAUGCACUUCGUGUACAAAACACACAAUCACCUUCGAAGUAUCAGGGUUUCAUACGGAAACUCGUCUUUUACAAAGGGAUUUCAUUUUUGUUGAACUUAUUUGAACCCCCUUGUUUUUGUGUGUUCAAAAUGCACCAUUCAAAGCCACAUCAUCAAUUUACAACCCUUUCUCACUUCAUUUGUUAUUUUUCAUGCAUUUACUGAUUAUUUUGAGCUAUAAGACCAUGAAAUUGAAAAGCAUUUGAAAUGAACUCUGAAAAGGUUCCAAGUUGNNNNNNNNNNNNNNNNNNNNNNNNNNNNNNNNNNNNNNNNNNNNNNNNNNNNNNNNNNNNNNNNNNNNNNNNNNNNNNNNNNNNNNNNNNNNNNNNNNCACAUAGCAUGUGCAAGAAAGUAGAGAGGCUUACGGCAAAAACUGGAUGCACUUCGUGUACAAAACACACAAUCUCCUUCGAAGUAUCAGGGUUUCAUAUGGAAACUCGUCUGUUACAAAGGGUUUUCAAUUUUUUUGAACUUAUUUGAACCCCCUUGUUUUUUGUGUUCAAAAUGCACCAUUCAAAGCCACAUAAUCAAUUUACAACCCUUUCUGACUUCAUUUGUUAUUUUUCAUGCAUUNNNNNNNNNNNNNNNNNNNNNNNNNNNNNNNNNNNNNNNNNNNNNNNNNNNNNNNNNNNNNNNNNNNNNNNNNNNNNNNNNNNNNNNNNNNNNNNNNNNNAUUCUAAGCUUAGGAUCCCAAUGUGCUGGAAAGCAGAAUAACAAAGUAUGUUAAGAUAGUGACAUUUGCAACCACAACUGGUACAUCCUCGCAAAUGCCGAUAAGGAAAGCAGUUGAUUUGUCGGCCAUUUGCAGAGAGAUUUCAGUGGGUGUCAACUUAUCCAGUUCAAGCCUACGAUAAAGAGAGAGAGGCAUAACACUAACACCGGCUCCAAGAUCGCAUAAAGCAGUUCUAAUGUAGUUGCCUUUAAUGGAGCAAGGUAUAGUGGGCACUCCGGGAUCACCUAGUUUCUUAGGAGUUCCACCCUUGAAGGUAUAAUUAGCGAUCAUGGUGGAAAUCUCAACCUCAGGUAUCCUCCUCUUAUUAGUCACAGUAUCCUUCAUGUACUUAGCAUACGGAGACAUUUUGAGCAUAUCUGUCAAACGCAUUUGCAGAAAGAUAGGUCUGAUCAUUUCAACAAAUCGCUCAAAAUCUUCAUCAUCCUUUUUCUUGGAUGGUUUGGGAGGAAAGGGCAUGGGUUUCUAAACCCAUGGUUCCCUUUCUUUACCAUACUUCCUAGCAGCGAAGUCAUUCUUAUCAUAUCUUCUAUUCUUUGGUUGUGGGUUAUCAAGAUCAACAUGUUCAAUCUCCACAUCCUAUCAUUGCCAGGUUGAGCAUCAUCAUGAACAUCACUAUCGAUAUUGUCAUUAGGCUCAUGUUCAUCACCAGAUUGUGUUUCGGCAUCAGAGACAGAGACAUCGUUUGGACUCUCAGGUGUAGCGGCAACAGGGUUGCUAGCGUGCAAAUCCGUAUCAUCUUUCUUCUUCUUCCUAGGAUGACUAGGUGCAUCAGUUCUAACUCCUUGAGAAUCUUGUUCAAUUCUCUUAGGAUGACCCUCAGGAUACAAAGGUUCCGGAGUCAUUCUACCGCCUCUAGUGACGACUCUAACAGAAUUGUCAUUCAACUCAUUGAGCAAGUCAUUCUGAGCCUUAAGUACUUGUUCUACUUGAGUAGUAACCAUAGAGGCAUGUUUACUCGUAAGCUUAAGAUCAUUGACAUUUCUGUCCACACAUGCACUUAAAUGACUAAGCAUACGAGCAUUCUGUUCCAAUUGUCUGCUAACAUAAUCAUUGAAACUUUGUUGUUUGGCAACGAAGUUAUCAAAUUCAUCCAGGCAUAAGCUAGCAGGCUUAUCAAAAGGAAUAUCACUCUCAUCGAAUCUACAAAGAGAAUUCACUUCUACUACCUGUAUCGGGUUAUCGAGACCAUGGAUCUCUUCGAUAGGUGGUAGAUUUUUGACAUCUUCAGAUUUAAUGCCUUUCUCUUUCAUAGAUUUCUUAGCUUCUUGCAUAUCUUCGGAACUGAGGAAUAGAAUACCUCUUUUCUUCGGAGUUGGCUUAGGAGGUGGUUCGGGAAUAGUCCAAGCAUUCUCAUUGCACAAGAUAUUAUUCAAUAGGAUCUCAGCUUGUUCUAUAGUUCGUUACCUAAAAACACAACUAGCACAACUAUCUAGGUGGUCUCUAGAAGCAUCGGUAAGUCCAUUAUAGAAGAUAUCAAGUAUUUCAUUCUUCUCAAGAGGGUGAUCACGCAAAGCAUUCAGCAGCUGGACGAGCCUCCCCCAAGCUUGUGGGAGACUCUCUUCUUCCACUUGUGCAAAGUUGUAUAUUUCCUGCAAGGCAACUUGCUUCUUAUGGGUAGGGAAAUAUUUUUCAGAGAAGUAGUAGACCAUAUCCUGGAGGCUACGCACACAACGAGGAGCAAGAGAAGUGAACCAAGUCUUAGCAUCAUCCUUUAGCGAGAAAGGAAACAGCUUGAGGAUAUAGUAGUGGCGGAUAUUUUCCUCACUCGUGAAUAGGGUGGCUAUAUCGUGCAGUUUGGUAAGAUGGGGUACAACCGUUUCAGACUCAUAACCGUGAAAAGGAUCAGAUUCGACUAGAAUGAUUAACUCAGGGUCGACAGAGAAUUCAUAAUCUUUAUCGAUCACAAAGAUAGGCGAAGUAGCAAACUUCGGGUCGUAUUUCAUCCUAGCGUUUAGAGAUUUUUCUUUCCACUUGAGCAGUAAUUUCUCAACAUCAUAUCUAUCCUUACAAGCAAGAAAGUCCUCAGCUAUCUCUCCCUCCAUAACAUAACACUCAGGCAUAUCAGGCAAUUCAUAUCUAGGAGAUCUAGUUCUGGCAGGCAAAAUAGCAGGUUAUACUUCAAUAGUAUCAGCAGUUUCAGAAGUAUCAUCACAUCUAGCAGCAACUCUAGCAAUUUGUGCAUCAAGGGCACCUAGUGGCAAAGAAGUAUCAAGCAUAGCAUCAACAUAAGCAUCAUGGGCAGCAUAAGUAGCAUCACCAAGCACAGGCGACAUAUCAAGAUUUCUAGCAGGAGGUGGUGUCGCAAACUUACUCAUAACUGAAGGUGAAUCAAGAGCAGAGCUAGAUGGCAGUUCCUCACCUGUCCUCGUAGUUGAGGGCAAGACUUUAGUUCUUGGAUCUUUCCGAUUCCUCAUAGUGACCAGCAGACGUAAAUCUCAAGUGACUCAGCAAAUAUAGAUGUGCUUCCCCGGCAACGGUGCCAUAAAAUAGGCACGUUAACGGGAGACUAUUCUUAACUUUGGCUUCCCCGGCAAUGGUGCCAGAAAAUAGUCUUGAUAACCCACAAGUAUAGGGGAUCGCAAAAGUUUUCGAGGGUAGAGUAUUCAACCCAAAUUUAUUGAUUCGACUCAAGGGGAAGCCAAAGAAUAUUUUCAAGUAUUAGUAGUUGAGUUGUUAAUUCAACCACACCUAAAAUAUUUAGUAUCUGCAGCAAAGUAUCAGUAGCAGAGUAGUGUGAUAGCAGCAGUAGCAACAGUAACCAGUAGCAGCAAAGUAACAGAAGUAGAGACAGCAGUAGCAGCAAAGUAACGUAGCAAGGACCAGUAGUAAAAGACUCAUAGGCAUUGGAUCGGUGAUGGAUUAUUAUGCCGGAUGCUAUUCAUCAUGCAACAGUGAUAACACGGAGAGAUAUGUAACUAGCUCCAGUUUGUCAAUGUAAUGUAGGCAUGUAUUCUGUAUGUAGUCAUACGUGCUUAGGGAAAAGAACUUGCAUGACAUCUAUUGUCCAUCCCUCCUGUGGCAGCGGGGUCCUAAUGGAAACUACGGGAUAUUAAGGUUCUCCUUUUAAUAAAGAACCGGACCAACGCAUUAACACUUGGUGAAUACAUGAACUCCUCAUACUAUGGUCAUCUCCAGGAGUGGUUCCGUCUAUUGUCACUCCGGGGUUGCCGGGUCAUAACACAUAGUAGGUGACUACGACUUGCAAGAUAGGAUCAAGAACACACAUAUAUUGGCGACAACAUAAUAGGUUCGGAUCUGAAAUCAUGGCAGUCGGGCCCUAGUGACAAGCAUUAAGCAUGGCAAAGUAGUAGCAACAUCAAUCUCAGAACAUAGUGGAUACUAGGGAUCAAUCCCCGUCAAAACUAACUCGAUUACAUGAUAGAUCUCAUCCAACCCAUCACCGUCCAGCAAGCCUACGAUGAGAUUACUCACGAACGGUGAAGAGCAUCAUGGAAUUGGCGAUGAAGGAAGGUUGAUGAUGACGAUGGCGACGAUUUCCCCUCUCCGGAGCCAAGAACGGACUCCAGAUCUGCCCUCCAGAUGAAGAACAGGAGGUGGCGGCGCCUCCGUAUCGUAAAACGCGAUGAACUCUUCUCCUUAUUUUUUCCCGGGCGAAACGGACUAAGUAGAGCUGGACUUGGAGGGGUGGAGUUUUGUGGGCCCCACAAGCCUGCCAGGCGUGGCCAGGGGGCCCGCGCCUGGUGGGCUUGUGGGCUCCACGCUCCACUUCCUCCGCUGAUUCUUGCGCCAGUAUUUUUUAUAUAUUCCACAAAAACUCUCCGUAAAUUUUCAGGUCAUUCCGAGAACUUUUAUUUCUGCGCAAAAACAACACCAUGGCAAUUCUGCUGAAAACAGCGUUAGUCCGGGUUAGUUCCAUUCAAAUCAUGCAAAUUAGAGUCCAAAACAAGGGCAAAAGAGUUUGGAAAAGUAGAUACGAUGGAGACGUAUCAAUGAUGUAAGGAAAUAAAAUUUUGGUAUUCCUUUAUUAACACAUAAACAAUCAUCAUCCUUUGAGUAAUCCUGUGAAGAAGGAACUCGUCUAGUCGGUAGUACCAUAUGAUUCACGACUAUUUCUAGUCAUAGAGUGACUUAUGAAGUUUUACACAAUACAUGUUGCGAUUUGUUUUUGUAUUUAGAAAUGAAGCCCUUUAGGGACUUCAAUAUAGAUUUCCGAAAUGAGUGACUCAUAUGAGUAUGUAUUCACUGCAUCCAUUCACUGCAUGGAUAAUAUUAUUUGUACUGCUAGUGGUAUUUAUUAUCGAAACAUAUUUCCACUCAUACCAAGAAGGUAUGUUACAUAAUAAUCAAUGUCGAGUCUCUGCGUGAACCCUUUUGCUACAAGUCUCGCUUUCUCACCACCUCAUUUACUUUGUCUAUGAAUAAGAAGUUUUAGUAUUCUAUAAGAAAGAUACUUAUGUGGAGUAGGUAUUACUGUGGUAAAUACCACUCGUUUGCAGAGCGAGUGCUAUUCUUCAUUACUUGCUUCCUUUUACGUGAACCAAUAUGAGUACAAGAGGCACUCUACCAUGGAUUUUGGUUCAGGGCCCAAAAGGUUUUAGCAAUUUUGAGAAGAAAUAUAUGUCGACAAAUGUAGACUUAUGUUAUAUGAUUCUGGAGGAAUCAAUGAAAUUUGUGGAAAUGUAUUUAUUCCUUUUAACUCCUUGUGAUUUCUGACAACAAUGGAGUCAAUGUGUUUCGAUGUCCCGACACCAAAACAUUUGUGCACAUUUAUGUCGGGCUUUGGAUGAUGAGCAUCUAGUGAGGUGUCUUUGAACUUGAUGUUGAAUUACAUUUACUGGUUGAGGAUUUGAUUUCCUCUAUUUCUGUGGAAGCAUAUGCGAGAUUAUAUCUCGUGUGGUCAGAUUUCUCCCGCUAUUUCUCUCAUUUCGGGAGAAGAGUGGGUUAUCAAGUACCUCCACUCGUUCUCACACUUUACUGCAGGAAUAUAAUUGAGUAACACCUUUGUCAUCAGUAAAUGUAUGUGGCAGAUUUGCAAUGUGUUGCAAAUAUGUGAUUCUAAACUUCUUGUUGAGAUUCUUUGAGUACGUGGAUAUAAGUACUAAAUGUGAAUAACAUUUCUAAUUUAUUUCUUGGCAUUUAUUGUGGUACUAAUCUCCCCCUAAUGCCAGAAAUGUCCUUAUUGUUGAUGCAAUCAACAUGCGGGCUAUGAAUAAUUUUGAUUGACGGAUAAAUUUUUAUUCCUCACAUAGAUCCCUAAUUUUUUUGUGAGAGCCCAUUGAUGUAUGCUGGAGUGGUGAUAUUGGUAUGUAACCGAAUUAUCGCAGAUAGGAACAACUUUGUUGAUUGCCACAUAAUUACUACAAGGAGAAAGUAGUAUGCUAUGCAGUUGGUAUGAUUUAUAUCAUACUUACAGUGUGUAAUGCCGUAUUUGUCUAGCAUGAGGCUUGUAAAUUACAAUUCUAUAAGUUUGGUCAUAUUAUUAAUUUCACUAUAUUUGAUAAGAUAUUUAACUAAACCAUUCUCGGUAUGUACAUAAAGUAUUAUGUAUAAUCAGACAUUGCUUGUGAAAUGAGUUCAACGAAGUUGUCCAUUCGAAUGGAUUUAUCCCUUGUUUAGGAUAACUUGCUCUUACUUUGAGAAUUUGAGAAAUUAAUUUAGUUAUAUCAUUCAUGGUUUUGUGUGACAAGAGACACACUUGAAAUCAUUUUAUAAAUGUUUCCAUGAGUACCAUAAUGGUAUAUAUAUAAUACCACAUAAUGGUUGAGUAAUCCACAUAUCUUCUGAAUGUGUUCAAGGAAGAAUGAAUUGGCUCAUUUAGAAUUGUAAGGUGAGAGUUCCUUAAAUUAAUUUCCCCUAUAGCACAUGUGGUGCACAUAAAAUCUGAUGAUUUGGGAAACUUUGCAACUUGUUAAGUUGUGACCAAUAGAAUUGUCAAUAAUUUUCUAAUCAACCCCAAACCAGGAUUGUAAGGCUUAAAGCCAAAUAUUUUGUAAUAUUUAGAAAAUUAUUUUUCACGCAACAAAACUGAGUAUGAAUUGAUUCAUACAUUCAAAAUUUAUCAAAUAUAAUGUCCAAGAAAUAGGAUAUUGGACAUUUAUACUACAUGUAGUAGUACAACUAUAGGAAAACAAUAUUUUGGGAAUAAUCGGGAUAUUACAUGAGGUCUCCCAUAUUACUGAAAAAUGAAUUAUGCAAACAUAUCAUAGGCGCAAAUGAAUUGAUCAUUCCUUUAUUGCACUAUAUUUUUGGUUCUCCUUCUGAUGAAGAUUCGAGAACAUCAUUUACCAGAAUAGUUUUUGGUCGUAUGUUUGCAGAUUUUCAAAUACCCCAAUGAGCUUAUUUGCCUUUUAAUAAACUCAUGGUGUGGUUUGACCAUUGAUACGUCUCCAACGUAUCUAUAAUUUUUUACGGUUCCAUGCUAUUAUCUUGUCAACUUUGGAUGUUUUGUAUGCAUGAAUAUGCUAUUUUAUAUCUUUUUUGGGACUAACCUAUUAACUCAGUGCCAAGUGCCAAUUUCUGUUUUUCCGUGUUUUUGACCUUUUUCAGAGAAGAAUAUUAAACGGAGUCCAAACGGAAUAAAACCUGCGGAAUGAUUUUUUCCAUAACAGAAGAUACGCACGGGACUUGAGAACCAAGGCAAAGGACCCCGGGGGAGGUCACAAGCCCCCUAGCCGCGACCUCGGAGGCGCGCCUAGUAGGCUUGUGGGCCCCCCGUGGCUCCUUUGCCCUACUUCUUCCGCCUAUAAAUUCUCUAAAAAUCCAAAACCACCAGAGAGAUCCAUGAAAAUACUUUUCCGCCGCCGCAAGCUUCUAUCUCCGCAAGAUCCCAUCUAGGGACCGUUCUGGUGCCCUCCGGAGGGGGAUUCGGACACGGAGGGCUUCUUCAUCAACACCAUUGCCUCUCAGAUGAUGCGUGAGUAGUUCACCACAGACCUUCGGGUCCAUAGCUUGUAGCUAGAUGGCUUCUUCUCUCUCUUGGAUCUUCAAUACAAAGUUCUCCAUGAUCUUCAUGGAGAUCUAUCCGAUGUAACCUUCUUUUGCGGUGUGUUUGUCGAGAUCCGAUGAAUUGUGGAUUUAUGAUCAGAUUAUCUAUGAAUAUUAUUUGAGUCUCCUCUGAUCUCUUAUAUGCAUGAUUUCCUAUCCUUGUAAUUUUCUUCGAGUUGUGGGUUUCGUUUGGCCAACUUGAUCUAUAAUUCUUGCAAUGGGAGAAGUGCUUGGUUUCGGGUUCAUACCAUGCGGUGUCCUAAACUAGUGACAGAAGGGGUAGCGAGGCAUGCAUCGUGUUGUUGCCAUCAAGGGUAAAAAGAUGGGGUUUAUAUCUAUUUCAUGAAUUUGUCCCUCUACAUCAUGCCAUCUUGCUUAAGGCGUUACUCUGUUUGUUAUGAACUCAAUACACUAGAUGCAUGCUGGAUAACAGUCGAUGUGUGGAGUAAUAGUAGUAGAUGCAGACAGUAUCGGUAUACUUGUCUCGGACGUGAUGCCUAUAUGUAUGAUCAUUGCCUUAGAUAUCAUCAUCACUUUGCGCGAUUCUAUCAAUUGCUCGACAGUAAUUCGUUCACCCACUGUAAUACUUGCUAUCAUGAGAGAAGCCUCUAGUGAACACUAUGGCCCCCGGAUCUACUUCACAUCGUAUUUUCCGAUCUACACUUUUACUUUGUUGCACUUUCCACCUUCAGAUCUCACCUUGCAAAUAAUCGUGAAGGGAUUGACAACCCCUUUAUAGCGUUGGGUGCAAGUUUGUUUGUUUUUGCGCAGGUACAUUGGUGCCUCAUCUUGAUACUCCUACUGGAUUUAUACCUUGGUUCUCAAACUGAGGAAAAUACUUACUGCUACUGUGCUCAUCACCCUUUCCUCUUCAAGGGAAAAAACAAUGCAAGCUCAAGAGGUAGCAAGAAGAAUUUCUGGCACCGUUGCCGUGGAGGAUCAAGUCAAGAAUAGUCUCCCGUCAACGUGCCAAUUUCUGGCGCCGUUGCCAGGGAGGAUCAAGUCAAGAAUAGUCUCCCGUCAACGUGCCAAUUUCUGGCGCCGUUGCCGGGGAGUAUUCAAAGUGAAGCAUAUCCAAGUAACUAUCACAAACUCAUCUCUUGCAUUUACAUUAUUUGCCUUUUGCCUCUCGUUUUCCUCUCCCCCACUUCUGAGAAAACAAAAAUUACAAAAAUAUUUGCCUUUUUCGUUCGCCCUUUUCUUUCGCUUGCUUUCUGUUUGCUUGUGUGCUUGUCUACCUGCUAAGACCUGUAUGGCCGAACCGAAUGAUUAUGAUGCUUACUAUAAAAGGUUGGAAGAGAUUGAAACUAAUGUUAAAGGCUUCAUGUCUACACAGUUUGAUCAUAAUAGUUACUAUCGUAGAGAACUAAGGGAGCAAAAUUCUUUUAUGGCUCUUUAUGAAUAAAAAAGUUGAUGAUAUGGCCAAAGAAUUCCUUGUGUUAAAUUCUCAAUUUGCUCGUCUUGAGAAAUUGGUAGGCCAAAUUUCUCAUAAACAAGCUCCUUAGUCAAUAAAAUGGCUGCUAAACCCGAAAUAUGUGAUGAGAAUCACGAAGAUCUUAAAGUGCUUGGUGUGACUCCUAUUGAAUCCUUGUUUUCUAAUGUCAAACCUAAUGAUGAUGGGGCUGGAUAUGAAUCCACUUUGGUUGAGAAACGCCCCAAUGAUUCAGAGUCUAUCUAUCUUGAUGCUAAAAGCACUGAAAGUGGAGUAGAGGAUAUCAAAACUUUGAAUAGUGAUGAAAUUACUACUUUGGAUUUCAAGGAAUUCAAUUAUGAUAGUUGCUAUUUUAUUGAAUGUAUUUCCUUGAUGCAAUCUAUGCUAAACUCUCCACAUGCUUAUAGCCAAAACAAGGCUUUUACUUAUCAUAUCGUCGAUGCUAUGAUGAAAUCUCUUGAAGAGAAACUUGAGUUGGAGAUAUCUGUUCCUAGAAAACUUCAUGAUGAGUGGGAACAUACUAUCAAAAUCAAGAUUAAAAACUAUGAGUGCAAUGCUUUGUGUGAUUUGGGUGCUAGUGUUUCCGCUAUUCCAAAGUCUUUAUGUGAUGUUCUAGGCUUCAAUGAGAUUGAUGAGUGCUCUCUUAAUCUGCAUCUUGUGGAUUCUACUAUUAAGAAACCUAUGGGAAGGAUCAAUGAUGUUCUUGUUAUUGCAAAUAGGAACUAUGUACCCGUAUAUUUCAUUGUGCUUGAUAUUGAUUGCAAUCCGACAUGUCCCAUCAUUCUUGGUAGACCUUUCCUUAGGACUAUUGGUGCUAUCAUCGAUAUGAAGGAACGGAAUAUUAGAUUUCAAUUUCCAUUAAAGAAGGGCAUGGAACACUUUCCUAGAAAGAAAAUAAGAUUGCCUUAUGAAUCCAUGAUGAGGGCGACUUAUGGUUUGAGCAUCAAAGACGACGAUACUUGAUUCUAUAGACUUAUGCCUAGCUAAGGGCGUUAAACAAUAGCGCUUGUUGGGAGUCAACCCAAUGAAUUUAUAUUUGCAUUUUGCUUUCUGUUUUGUUGUGUCCACACCAUCAUAAUUCUGUUAUGAUUGUGUUUUUUGUGUUUCUUUUUGUGCUUGUGCCAAGUAAAACCUUUAUGACUAGUUUUGGUGAUGGUUGUUUGAUCAUGCCGACAAAGACAGAAACUUUGUGCUCACGAAAUUAUUUUUAAUUUCUAUCCAGAAAGAACUUAUGAGUUGAUUCUUUUUGCUGCUGGUUGAUAUGCAAAUUUCCCUAAUUUUCAUAAUUGUUCCGAAUUUUUGAGAUAACAGAAGUAUACAGAUUGCUACAGACUGGUCUGUUUUUGACAUAUUCUGUUUUUGUUGUGUUGAUUGCUUAUUUUGAUGAAGCUAUGGAUAGUAUAGGGGGGUACUAGUCAUGGGAAAGUGAGAAUACAGUAAUCUAACAUCAAUCUAAAAUAGAAAUCAAGUUUACUACAGUACCUAAAGAGUUGGUAGUUUGUUUUCUUAUGCUAAUGAUAUCACGAGUUUCUGUUUAAGUUUUGUGUUUUGAAGUUUUCAAGUUUUGGGUGAUGUUCUCAUGGACAAUGGGAUAAAGAGUGGAAAGCGCUCAAGCUUGGGGAUGCCCAAGGCAUCCCAAGCCAAAUUCAAGGACACAAAAAAGCCUAAUCUUAGGGAUGCCCCGGGAAGGCAUCCCCUCUUUCGUCUUCAAUCCAUAGGUAACGUUACUUGGAGCUAUAUUUUUAUUCACCACAUGAUAUGUGUUUUCUUGGAGCGUCGUGUAUUAUAGGAGUCUUUUAUUUUGGUUUUGUCACAAUCAUCCUUGCUGCACACCUUUUUGAGAGAGACAUGCACUCAUCGUGAAUUUGCUAGAAUACUCAUUGAGCUUCAUGUGACAGCCCGAUGCCGGCGUUCGAGAAGAUUCCCCUUCUAUUCCGUUUUCGUCGUGUGUCUAUUUUAAUUUUGUUGCACCAUCAUCGCAUCAUGCCCAUCAUCUGCAUUGCAUCGGCAUCUCCGUGCCGCCAGUUUUCAAAAGUUGCAUCUGUUGUUAGUUGCCGGUUCGCGUCGUUGUCCGUUCUGAGCCCGACCGCACACGCACGCGCCCGCGGCAUCGUCAAAACCGUGUUUUAAAAGUGUGUUGAAAACUUUCUCUGAUCGAGGUGAAACUUGGCAUGCUGUCGUGAUUAGUUAUAGCUAGGCCGCCUGUCGAAUUUUGUCGCGAUCGGAGUCCGUCUGGUACCGAAACGGUCGACCGUAGCGGCACCGUAUUCGGUCUACCGUCGGAUGGUUGUCGGUGUUUUAAAAAUCGUUGCCGCGCCGCCCGUUCUCCCUCUCGUCUCCGGAUAACCAACCUACAUGGCCAUUUAGUCUGUCCCAUGUUCGGAAUUACUCGAAUCCGACCGCUAAACCUAGCCCCCCAUUGUUAUAAAUAGGAACCCAUGCCAUUUUUGGACAACCUCUCUCUCUCCCUCGUUUUCCGUGCAAACCCUAGACCCGCCUCCUGAUCCGCGCCCCAGCCAGCCUCCACCCACCUCCUGAGCCCCGGAUCUGAUCCAGCCUAGCUCACCUGAUCUGGGCCGUCGAAUCUCGGAUCCAACGGCCCAGGGCGCCUCCCUCCUCCUGCCCGAGAUCCCUGCCAUGGCAGCGCCUCCCCUGCCGAGCAGCCCACGCGCCUUCCCCCGUCGCCGGCCGGUGCGCCCCUGCUGCCCGCCGUCCUCCNNNNNNNNNNNNNNNNNNNNNNNNNNNCACGAGGCCCAGUGUGCUGCAGCCUCCGGUCGGCCCAAGAGGCCCCCCCAAGGUGAGCCCCGUGUACUCUAUUCCCUGCACCCUGCGCUGGAUAGUAUUCUGCGCCCAUGUGUCGGCCCAUUAGCUAUUUAGAUUUUUGGAAUUAAUAUAAAUUCCAAAAAAAUAGGUAAAUAUUAAAACGUCCGUAACUUUUAUUCCGUUAGUCGGUUCGCGACGUGUAGUAUAUGGUUUUCGUGUAGUUUCUCGCGUAGGAUAUGAUUUCACAACUUGCAUAUUUGUUUGACGUUGUUUAGCGAGUUGUUUGCCUAGAAACACGUGAUGUCCUAUCAUGUUUGCGUCCCGUAUUUAUUUUUCGCGCGUGUCCGGUUUGCCCGAAUGCCUUAGAUAAAAUGUUCAUGCUCCAGGGACCCAUUUGCCAUGUAUUUUAGAGUAGCCGACGGUAUUUUCGCACGUAGGGAUUUGCCGCUAGAUUAUUUUCCGUGUUUAGGACGUUAUCUCGCAUUUACGUGCGGUGAUAUUUUUGUGUUGCAACCCCACAUGUUUUAUAUGCUUUCGGGCUAGAAAAAUCCAUAGGAUUUUUUGUGCAAUUAGUUUUAGCUUUUGAGUAAGUUAGUUCGCGCGAUAUUUUUUCCAUGUUACCCUUUUGUCUUUUUCGUAGGAUUUGUUCCGUGCUUCGUUUGAUUAAUUCGUCAACUAGAGAGUUGUUCUUUGAUGUUUAGUCUAGCCCCUGGUAUUUUUGGUGGCAAUAGAAAUGCAUGUUUAGGUGUGGUUUGCUUGCUCUCAAGUUGCUAGAAAUAGUGCUCAUUUGGAGGUGCUGAAAUAUUUUUAAGUCUGGAUUCUGUUAUAUUUUGUUGCUGUUUUGUUUUGCUUAUAUCUUGUGAUCUGUAGCUCUUUUGAGGUUGGUCCAAUGGAGUUAGUUGUAAACCUUGUGUUUAUCUAGCAUGCUGUGAAUUUUCAUGCCAUUUGGAGUCCUGUAGCUUAUGGUUUUGCUGCUGUCAAUAUGGCUUCAGAUCGAAAACUGCACUUUCAUGAAGUGUAAUUUUCACCAAGUCUGAAACUGUGUGUGAGAAGCCAUUUUGUGACUUCUUUUCCUAGUAUUCCAUGAUGCCAUGCUAGUUGUUGUUAGUUGUUUGUUGUAGUGCUUCUUGCCCUCUUUCGUGACAUGCCUUGGUUGAUUAUAUUUGAGUUGUGUAGCUCGUAGUUGUGGGGUGUAGAGAAUGCUAUGUGGCUGAUUUUGGCAGAUUGUAGUGAAUUCUUGUUUUGCUCGUAGUUGUUGAACCGUAGUUCCGAUUUGAUCGUGUCCCAUAUGAAACUUGCUUAGAAUAUCGUGUAGUUUCAUUUUAUCUUGCUGGUUGUAUGUUUUGAAGUGCUCGUGACCGUCGUUGCACACAUAUUGCAUUCAUGCCAUCAUAUCUUGCGGUGCUUGUAAGUUUUGAACCGUAGCUCCGUUGGAGAUGAUCUCUAUGUGUAAAUUGCUUGUAAAGACACGUAGAAUCACGUGAACCUAUUUGUUUUUUGUUUAACAACCAAUUAAAUGUGUUAGUUCAGAUCUGGACAGAAUUGUAAAUUAACCUAUGAGGCCGUUUCGGAGGUGCUAUAUGUCAUUUCCGACCUCAUUUAAAAUGCCUAGAUAGGUAGAUUAAUUGUGCUUCAUCUCUUGCCAUGUUUAACCACAUUUAAUAUUGCCGUGUACCUAAUCGGGAUAGAACUAAAUAAUUAAACGUGGAGUUUCAUCAAUAUGCAACUUGUUGCAUAUUGAACUUCACUUAAUGUGUAGUGUUUGUUUGUGUAUAUUGUCAUGCUGUGACUUGCAUGUAUUCAGCUACUCAUCCAUCAUAUGUGUUGUGCAUCGUGUCGUGAAUUCCGUGUGUUGAUUUGUGUUUCCGGUUUGCUUCGUCUCGUUAGAGUUCCGCAGCGUGUCGGAUUGUGAGGACCCGUUCGACUACGUCGGUUCGUCUGCUUCACGGAGUCAUUCUUCUUCCAAGCGGGAUCUCAGGCAAGAUGACCAUUUCCCCUGAUACCAUUACUAUCAUUGCCAUGCUAGUUUUAUCGCUUCUAACGUUAUGUCUCGUUGCCUACCACAUGUUUACAUAUCAGCCUCUCAACAAUGCCAUGAUAACCUUCAACCUAUUCGACCUAGCAAACCACUGAUUGGCUAUGUUACCGCUUGCUUAUCCAUGUUGUUAGCGUUGCUAGUUGAAGGUGUAGUUGCUUCCAUGUGAUAACAUGGGUUCAUUGUUAUAUCACCCUAUUUAAUGUUAUUUAAAUUUAACGCACCUAUAUACUUGGUAAAAGGUAGAAGGCUCGGCCUUUCUAGCCUGGUGUUUUGUUCCUCCUUUGCCCCCUUAGUUUCCGGCUACCGGUGUUAUGUUCCAUAAAUGAGCGCUCUUAACACGAUCGGGGUUGUUAUGGGGACCCCCUUGAUAAUUCAUUUUAGAUUAAAGCUGGUCUGGCAAGGCCCAACAUUGGUACUACAUUUGCCUAAUCACCUAAUAAAAUUGCAUAGGGACUUUCCGGACCCCGAGGAUAAUUUAAUCAACCCCCGGGCCAGUGCUCCUCAUGAGUGUUGGUCCAAAACAGAGCAGCUUAUUAAUGCUACCCGGGGCAACUCGAUGUUUGGCGUGGUAACCAUCGCUCAUCCGUCGUGUCCUGAGAACGAGAUACGCGGCUCCUAUCGGGAUCGUCGAAACGUCGGGCGGCCUUGCUAGAUUAGUUUUACCUUUGAUGAAAUAUCUUGUGCAUCGGGAUUCCGGUGAUUCUUUGGGUAAUCUCAGAGUUGAGGUUUUCCACUAAGAAAUCCGACGAGAUCGUAAGUGUCGUGAUUGAGGAUUUCUAUGCGGCUUGUGGUAAUUUGUGAUGGACUAGUUGGAGCACCCCUGCAGGGUUAAAUCUUUCAGAAAGUCGUGCCCGCGGUUAUGUGGCAACGUGGAAACUUUGUUUAACACUGAUUCUAGAUAACUUGAAGUUAACUUAAGUAAAAUAUGCCAACUGUGUGCGUAACCGUGACUGUCUCUUUCGUGAGUUCCUUCUCCGAUCAAGGACACGGUGGGGUUAUGUCUGAUGUAGGUAGGUGUUCAGGAUCAUUUAUUUGGUCAUCAGUAGUUCACGUCCGUUACGUGUAGAUCUUCCCCCUCUUGUACUCGUAAGUUUAGCCACCCAAAUAUAUGCUUAGCCGCUGCUGCAACCUCACCACUUAACCAUACCGCACCCACUAAGCUUUGCUAGUCUUGAUACCUUUGGAAAUGAGAUUGUUGAGUCCCAUGUGGCUCACAGUUUACUACAACACCAGUUGCAGGUACAGGUAAAGGUUAAUUGACGCGAGUGCGUUGAUUGUUCAUUUGGAGUUGCUUCUUCUUCUUCAUGAUCGAUCUAGGAUGGGUUCCAGGCCGGCAGCCUGGGAUAGCAAGGAUGGACGUCGUUCUUCUUUUCUCGUUUGUUUUCGUCCGUAGUCGAACCCUGCUCUUCUUCAUGAUGAUUAUGUAUUGUACUGUUGUGACUCUGAUGUAGCUUGUGGCGAGUGUAAGCCAAUUCUAUAUAUAUCUCUUCUUUUCAGUACCUGUACUUGUAACGAUAUUCAUUCUUGCGACACGACGAGAUGCGCUUCUAUCCCUGACGAGGCCUUCGUUUCGAAUUGAGGAUAGGGUCGCAUCUUGGGCGUGACAAGUUGGUAUCAGAGCAGUACCGACCUAGGAGCCCCCUUGAUUGAUCGAACUUGGCCGAGUCGAGUGUAGUGAAAAACUGCUUUGAGUCUAGUUAUAUAUCGAAGAGUAGGAUUAUUUUUUCUCCUCGUUUAUGCUCUGGUGAGCAAUCUUGACGUAAUAAUUUAUUCUACUCCUCUUCUCACUCAAAAAAAAAUUAGGAUCACGUGGAUAUUUUUGGAAUCUAUAUGAUGCCGAUGUGACGGAGUUCUGUCUUGGUGCCUCCUGUCUGACUUGAUUUUCUUCCGAGGAGUUGAGCUCCAGGGGAUUCUUGAGCACAUUGUUAUCAUUCAGAUUUCUUAGUAUCUUAGAACGAAGGAUGUUCGUAAUUGCUUCAAUACUAGUAGUGGCGAGAUAACCCCGAUGUCCCCAGUACUGGUGCAGAUUGUUCGGGAGUACUGCCAUACUUUGUAUCGUUGUGAUCACGAGGGUCUGUUGUAGAUGAAGGUCCGAGAUUCUGGUUGUGUGUUGACGGAUGUGAUACAGGUGAUGGGUUAGUAUAGGAGUUGUGUGAUUAUUACUCCUUGUAUCCGUGUACUAGAUUGCAUGACCAGAUAUUUCGGGAAUUCUAAGGUGGGAAUUCAAGUAGUUUCUUAUAGGACAAUCUUCCAACAAAUGCAUGAUGUUAGGUUGGGGUUCGACAUCUAGUGGAUUCGUUUGUUCACGGUCGACUUACAGCGGUACACGUUGUGUCUUAAAGAGUCCUUGUAGCUUGCUACGACUCGAGGACGCUUCAUAUGUCGGGUGCACUGCCUUGAACUUGAUGUCUACUGUAAGGAUCGAGCCCGUGCGAUCUUGUCCACGAAAAUAUCGGACAAAAUAUUUCUCAUGAGUUUGUUCUGGCUUGUUUCAUAAGCCUCACCCUUUGUUUUGUUGGAAUAUGGUAAUUCAAGUUGCUCCGAUGUCAAGUGGUGAUUUCAGAUCUUUCCUAAGAGGUGUUCUCAUAUUUUUAUGUGAAUGCAAAUUCUUUUCUCAAUCAAUCGUCUUAUCAAUUCUUGUUACCGGAGUUGUUUUGUGCCAAUUCUUUUCAACCGGUGUAUUUCUCUACAGUGAAUUCAAUCCUCUCCAAUUUUGCAAGAUCAUUCUCUUUUUUUAUUCUGGAGUUCAUCUCAUCUAUCCCAAGUUGUCCUUUUUUUCCCCGCCCUCCCGCCCUUUUUCUUCAGUGAUUGGAUUUCAUCCAAGUGCAUUUCGUUCCAGUGAUACUUCCGCUAUCUUUUCUUCCGUGUCCUAUCCGGUGAUUCAUUGUGAAGAUUCUCACGAGCUUCGUCUUCAUCUUUCUUCAGUAUUGUUAUCUUUUCCCGGUGAAUUCAAUUUAAUUAUCCUUGUUCUUUAUAUCCUAUUCAUCCUUGUAAAAAAAGUUCUAUGUUGGAGAUUCUUAUCAGCCUAUCUUGUUAUUCAUUUCUCUCUAGUCUAUCUGGAGUGCUGAAGUUAUCUCAGAAAUUCUUGUUUUCAAUUCUUUCAUUUAUUCCGAGGUUUAAUCUCAUCUAUUCUUCAUUUGUACCGGUGCAAUAUCUAUCUUUCUUUCAAUCUUUUCAAUGGUGGUUCCUUUUAGUGGGCUCAUAACCCACAGGUUCUUUCCCAGGAUCUUUCUUGGCUCUUUUAAUCUUUUUCUGGAGAUCUCUAAAUCUUUUCAACUAUGACGUAAGUAUGAAUUUCAUCAGUCAUAUUCCUUCUUCAAGUUCAAUUUGAAUUAGUUCUCAUAUUUGGCUCAACCUUUGAUUCUUCAUUAUUCCGGAGUGUCUCGGUAUUCUUGGUGUUGUUUCUCGUCAUCAUUCUCAGCUUGCAAAUUCGAAGGAGUGUUUCUCUUAAUAUUGGUUCAUUCUCUUGGAGAUUCGUCAUUUCAGCUUGGUGCCAUCAUCUUAAUUGUCCCAAUCAUGUGUAAUCCCUUUUCUUGCUACCCGAUGCUUUUCUGAGUUGUUUUCAUUCUCGAUCCUUUGAAGGCCAUCAUCCAGAAGAUUUUGUUCAUUCUCAGCUUGCAGCUUUCAUUCUCAAAUUCUUCUCCAUUGUUGUCUGUUCGUUCGUCUCUCGUUUAUCUGGUGCCUUGUUCUAGUGUUCUCUCAGGUGGCUUAUGAUGUCACGCCCAAGAUGCGACCCUAUCCUCAAUUUGGCACGAGGGCUUCGUCAGGGAUAGAAGCGCAUCUUGUCGUGUCGCGAGAAUGGAUAUCGUUACAAGUACAUGUACUGAAAAUAAGAGAUAUAUAAUAGAAUUGGCUUACACUCGCCACAAGCUACAUCAGAGUCACAUCAGUACAUUACAUAAUCAUCAAGAGUAAGAGCAGGGUCCGACUACGGACGAAAACAAACGACAAAAGAAGAACGACGUCCAUCCUUGCUCUCCCAGGCUGCCGGCCUGGAACCCAUCCUAGAUCGAUGAAGAAGAAGCAACUCCAAAUGAACAAUCAACGCGCUCGCGUCAAGUAACCUUUACCUGCACCUACAACUGGUGUUGUAGUAAUCUGUGAGCCACGGGGGACUCAGCAAUCUCGUUUCCAAAGAUAUCAAGACUAGCAAAGCUUAAUGGGUGAGGUAUGGUUAAGUGGUGAGGUUGCAGCAGCGGCUAAGCAUAUAUUUGGUGGCUAACUUACGAGUACAAGAAAUAAGAGGGGGAAGAUCUACGCAUUACGGACGUGAACUACUGUUGAUCAAAUGAAUGAUCCUAAACACCUACCUACGUCAGACAUAACCCCACCGUGUCCUCGAUCGGAGAAGGAACUCACGAAAGAGACAGUCACGGUUACGCACACAGUUGGCAUGUUUUAAUUAAGUUAACUUCAAGUUAUCUAGAACCAGUGUUAAACAAAGCUUCCACGUUGCCACAUAACCGCGGGCACGGCUUUCCGAAAGAUUUAACCCUGCAGGGGUGCUCCAACUAGUCCAUCACAAAUUACCACAAGCCGCAUAGAAAUCCUCAAUCACGAAGCUCGCGAUCUCGUCGGAUUCCCUAGUGGAAAACCUCAACUCUGAGAUUACCCAAAGCAUCACCGGAAUCCCGAUGAACAAGAUAUCUCGUCAAAGGUAAAAAUAAUCCAGCAAGGCCACCCGGUGUGUCGACGAACCCGAUAGGAGCCGCGUAUCUCGUUCUCAGGACACACCGUCUAUGCAUAGUGGACGGUAGCCAAACCUCGAGUUGCCCCGAGGUGGCACCGCUGACUGCUAGGUGGGUGGACCAACACUCAUGCGGAGCACUAGCCCGGGGGGUUGAUUAAAUUAUCCUCGGGGUCCGGAAAUUCCCAAUGCAAUUUUAUUAGGUGAUUAGGCAAAUGUAGUACCAAUGUUGGGCCUUGCCAGACCAGCUUUAAUCUAAAACGAAUUAUCAAGGGGGUCCCCAUAACAACCCCGAUCGUGUUAGGAGCGCUCAUUUAUGGAACAUAACACCGGUAGCCGGAAACUAAGGGGGCAAAGGUGGAACAAAACACCNGCUCGCGAUCUCGUCGGAUUCCCUAGUGGAAAACCUCAACUCUGAGAUUACCCAAAGCAUCACCGGAAUCCCGAUGAACAAGAUAUCUCGUCAAAGGUAAAAAUAAUCCAGCAAGGCCACCCGGUGUGUCGACGAACCCGAUAGGAGCCGCGUAUCUCGUUCUCAGGACACACCGUCUAUGCAUAGUGGACGGUAGCCAAACCUCGAGUUGCCCCGAGGUGGCACCGCUGACUGCUAGGUGGGUGGACCAACACUCAUGCGGAGCACUAGCCCGGGGGGUUGAUUAAAUUAUCCUCGGGGUCCGGAAAUUCCCAAUGCAAUUUUAUUAGGUGAUUAGGCAAAUGUAGUACCAAUGUUGGGCCUUGCCAGACCAGCUUUAAUCUAAAACGAAUUAUCAAGGGGGUCCCCAUAACAACCCCGAUCGUGUUAGGAGCGCUCAUUUAUGGAACAUAACACCGGUAGCCGGAAACUAAGGGGGCAAAGGUGGAACAAAACACCAGGCUAGAAAGGCCGAGCCUUCCACCUUUUACCAAGUAUAUAGGUGCGUUAAAUUAAAUAGCAUUUAAUAUGGUGAUAUAACAAGGAACCCAUGCUUUCACAUGGAAGCAACUACACCUGCAACUAGCAACGCUAACACAGGGUUAAGCAAGCGGUAACAUAGCCAAUCAGUGGUUUGCUAGGUCGAACAGGUUGAAGGUUAUAAUGGCAUUGUUGAGAGGCUGAUAUUUAACAUGUGGUAGGCAACGAGACAUAAACGAUAGAAGCGGUAAAACUAGCAUGGCAAUGAUAGUAAUGGUAUAUGGGGAAAUGGUCAUCUUGCCUGAGAUCCCGCUUGGAAGAAGAACAACUCCGAGAAGCCGGCGAACCAACGUAGUCGAACGGGUCCUCACAUUUCGACACGCUUGUGGAACUCUAUCGAGACGGAACAAACCGGAAACAAACAUCAACACAGAUAUUCACCACACGAUGCACAACAUGAAGCACAUCCCAAUAUGAUACAUGAACAGGUUAAAAUGCAAGGGAUGGCAUGGCAAUUCACCUCACACAAGCUCUACACAUUAAUUGAAGCUCGAUAUGCAACGGGUUGCAUAUCGACGAAACUCCAUGAUUAAUUAUUUAAUUCACUCCCGAUUAUUUAACACGCAAUAUUAAAUGUUGUUAACAUGGCAAGGGGUGAAGCGAUGAUUCUACCUGACAUACUAGCUGGUUUAACUCGCGGAACAUAGAACGGAGUUACGUCACAAGAAAUAUGCAACACAAUAUAUCAUGCCACGAAUGCAUAAUGCAUACAAGUUCAACCACGGCAAGAAGGGAAAGAAACACAUGUCGUCACGGUGAGCGAGAGGGAACCAUGGCGGAAAAAGGAAAAGAUGCCAGGCAACGUUCCUAUCCCAAUAACUCAUCGAGAUAUCGUGCCAACGUAUAUGAAGCGUGUGCGGGAACGUUAAAUAAAGAAUUGGGUGAUCCCGUAUCUCGGGUUCCCAUGUGUCGAGGCAUGACGAAAGAAGACAACGGGAAACGGGCAACAUAUGGUGCAUACAUACAUAUAUUCAUACAUCACUUGUACACGGUACACGACACGUCUCAUCGGUAUACCUUCGACGCAUGCGAUUCGAAGCGGAUCGGUUCGGAGAAGGAGACCAACGGUCGUCGUGGAAGUCGUGGUCGUCGUGGAAGUAGUCGUACAUGGUCUCGUCGACGGUAGUCGUUCUCUCGGCGUCGGUAGACGAUCUUCGGUGUCGGGAGACGAACACGGUUUACGAGGGUCGUCGCGGACGUCGUUGUCGUCGUGGUACUCGGGUCUUCGGCGUCGUCGAGGACGUCGUGGUAGUCGCCGAUCUUGUCAUCCCCACGGCGGCGGGGAUGGUCUACGCGGCGAUGCAGGCGACACAACAACAUCUAGUGGGUAGCGGCCGACAACAACUACAACAACUCGCUUAGCAGCACGGCAAGCAAGCAUCUAACAGCAAGCCUAGCAACUAGCAAUUAUACUAGCUAUAGCAGCUAGCUCCAUCUAGCAAGAGCAACAACAACUAAGCACAACAGGCAAGCUCAGCAGCAAAACGGCAGCAAGACUCGACAACAGCAACAGGGCAGCAGCGAGCAAGCACAGCAACAGCAACGGGACACAUCAAGCAGCAGCUACAACAGCCUAGCAGCGGCAGCAGCAAGCAACACAACGGCAUGCAUCGGCAAAUAGCAAGCGGCACCAGCUACAGCAAGGCGCAGCAGCAAGGCAACAGCUACAGCAACACGCACGCACAGCAACAGAGCAGCAGGCAGUAGAGCACAGCAGCGGCUUGACAAGGCAGCAGCAAAACGGCAACGCAGUGCGGGGGGAAUCGGCGGCAGGCGGCUCCGGAGGACGGCGGCGUGUAGAGGACGCGGGGCGCGGUGCUCCUGCGGCGGGCGGCGGCAGGGAACCGGCGACCUGGAGGCGGCAACCGGGAGGCCUCGGCGCGGGGCUGCUCGGGCUGGGGCAAGCUGGCGGCGUGCGGAAGAGAGCACGGCGGGGGCGGCACGGCUCGGGAGGAGGAGGCCGGCCAUGGCGCGGCGAGGCCGAGGGAGGAGCAGCUGGAGGGAGAUGGGAGGAGGCUAUGGCGUGAAGGGAACGCUGGGAGGAGGAGAUCGGCCUGGAUACAGAGGGGAUCGAGGCAAGGGGAUCGGGGGCUGACGGCGCACGGGGAGAUGAGGGAGGAGGAGAGGCACGGGCCUUGGCGCUAGGGCAGGGGAGGCCUGGGCCUUGGCCUGGGGUCCUCCCCCUUAGGGUUUUUUUAAACCCUUUUAAAACAGAAAUUUUAAAAUAAAGAAAGGCUUUUAACAAAAAAUAUAUAUAUAAUAAAUGCUUUUGAAUCCUUUGAAAAAAUAUAUAUUCCCAACUACAAGAAAUAGUUGGGCAUUUUUAGAAGAAAUGAAAUAAAACCUUUUGAAGAAUUAAAAUUAAAACCCGUUUACAAAAGAAUAAAAUCAAACCCCUUUUGAAGAAUUAAAUAAAACCUCUUUAUUUAAAGAAUAAAAUAAAAUCCCUUUAAAAGAGAAAAGUAAAUGAGACGGUUUUAAAAUAAAACCAAAGGAGAAAAAUNNNNNNNNNNNNNNNNNNNNNNNNNNNNNNNNNNNNNNNNNNNNNNNNNNNNNNNNNNNNNNNNNNNNNNNNNNNNNNNNNNNNNNNNNNNNNNNNNNNNNNNNNNNNNNNNNNNNNNNNNNNNNNNNNNNNNNNNNNNNNNNNNNNNNNNNNNNNNNNNNNNNNNNNNNNNNNNNNNNNNNNNNNNNNNNNNNNNNNNNNNNNNNNNNNNNNNNNNNNNNNNNNNNNNNNNNNNNNNNNNNNNNNNNNNNNNNNNNNNNNNNNNNNNNNNNNNNNNNNNNNNNNNNNNNNNNNNNNNNNNNNNNNNNNNNNNNNNNNNNNNNNNNNNNNNNNNNNNNNNNNNNNNNNNNNNNNNNNNNNNNNNNNNNNNNNNNNNNNNNNNNNNNNNNNNNNNNNNNNNNNNNNNNNNNNNNNNNNNNNNNNNNNNNNNNNNNNNNNNNNNNNNNNNNNNNNNNNNNNNNNNNNNNNNNNNNNNNNNNNNNNNNNNNNNNNNNNNNNNNNNNNNNNNNNNNNNNNNNNNNNNNNNNNNNNNNNNNNNNNNNNNNNNNNNNNNNNNNNNNNNNNNNNNNNNNNNNNNNNNNNNNNNNNNNNNNNNNNNNNNNNNNNNNNNNNNNNNNNNNNNNNNNNNNNNNNNNNNNNNNNNNNNNNNNNNNNNNNNNNNNNNNNNNNNNNNNNNNNNNNNNNNNNNNNNNNNNNNNNNNNNNNNNNNNNNNNNNNNNNNNNNNNNNNNNNNNNNNNNNNNNNNNNNNNNNNNNNNNNNNNNNNNNNNNNNNNNNNNNNNNNNNNNNNNNNNNNNNNNNNNNNNNNNNNNNNNNNNNNNNNNNNNNNNNNNNNNNNNNNNNNNNNNNNNNNNNNNNNNNNNNNNNNNNNNNNNNNNNNNNNNNNNNNNNNNNNNNNNNNNNNNNNNNNNNNNNNNNNNNNNNNNNNNNNNNNNNNNNNNNNNNNNNNNNNNNNNNNNNNNNNNNNNNNNNNNNNNNNNNNNNNNNNNNNNNNNNNNNNNNNNNNNNNNNNNNNNNNNNNNNNNNNNNNNNNNNNNNNNNNNNNNNNNNNNNNNNNNNNNNNNNNNNNNNNNNNNNNNNNNNNNNNNNNNNNNNNNNNNNNNNNNNNNNNNNNNNNNNNNNNNNNNNNNNNNNNNNNNNNNNNNNNNNNNNNNNNNNNNNNNNNNNNNNNNNNNNNNNNNNNNNNNNNNNNNNNNNNNNNNNNNNNNNNNNNNNNNNNNNNNNNNNNNNNNNNNNNNNNNNNNNNNNNNNNNNNNNNNNNNNNNNNNNNNNNNNNNNNNNNNNNNNNNNNNNNNNNNNNNNNNNNNNNNNNNNNNNNNNNNNNNNNNNNNNNNNNNNNNNNNNNNNNNNNNNNNNNNNNNNNNNNNNNNNNNNNNNNNNNNNNNNNNNNNNNNNNNNNNNNNNNNNNNNNNNNNNNNNNNNNNNNNNNNNNNNNNNNNNNNNNNNNNNNNNNNNNNNNNNNNNNNNNNNNNNNNNNNNNNNNNNNNNNNNNNNNNNNNNNNNNNNNNNNNNNNNNNNNNNNNNNNNNNNNNNNNNNNNNNNNNNNNNNNNNNNNNNNNNNNNNNNNNNNNNNNNNNNNNNNNNNNNNNNNNNNNNNNNNNNNNNNNNNNNNNNNNNNNNNNNNNNNNNNNNNNNNNNNNNNNNNNNNNNNNNNNNNNNNNNNNNNNNNNNNNNNNNNNNNNNNNNNNNNNNNNNNNNNNNNNNNNNNNNNNNNNNNNNNNNNNNNNNNNNNNNNNNNNNNNNNNNNNNNNNNNNNNNNNNNNNNNNNNNNNNNNNNNNNNNNNNNNNNNNNNNNNNNNNNGGGGCAAGCUGGCGGCGUGCGGAAGAGAGCACGGCGGGGGCGGCACGGCUCGGGAGGAGGAGGCCGGCCAUGGCGCGGCGAGGCCGAGGGAGGAGCAGCUGGAGGGAGAUGGGAGGAGGCUAUGGCGUGAAGGGAACGCUGGGAGGAGGAGAUCGGCCUGGAUACAGAGGGGAUCGAGGCAAGGGGAUCGGGGGCUGACGGCGCACGGGGAGAUGAGGGAGGAGGAGAGGCACGGGCCUUGGCGCUAGGGCAGGGGAGGCCUGGGCCUUGGCCUGGGGUCCUCCCCCUUAGGGUUUUUUUAAACCCUUUUAAAACAGAAAUUUUAAAAUAAAGAAAGGCUUUUAACAAAAAAGGGGGGGGGGGGAUAUAUAUAUAAUAAAUGCUUUUGAAUCCUUUGAAAAAAUAUAUAUUCCCAACUACAAGAAAUAGUUGGGCAUUUUUAGAAGAAAUGAAAUAAAACCUUUUGAAGAAUUAAAAUUAAAACCCGUUUACAAAAGAAUAAAAUCAAACCCCUUUUGAAGAAUUAAAUAAAACCUCUUUAUUUAAAGAAUAAAAUAAAAUCCCUUUAAAAGAGAAAAGUAAAUGAGACGGUUUUAAAAUAAAACCAAAGGAGAAAAAUAAAGAAAACCCAAGGGUUGCCCCGGCAUUUAAUAAAAGGACCUUCUUAAAAGAAGACGCCUUUUUUAAAGGGGUUAAAACGGAAACUUAGCAAAACCACAAAAUGAAAUAAGAGGAGAGAGAGGGGGAACUAAUAUCGCUCUACGACUCGGUGAUCGCUCGAAGCACAACACUCAAUACACCACACGCGACAGGCGAUGCAAGAUGCCAUGCAUGAUGCGAUAAUGCAAACUACAUGAUGAUGCAACAAAUAAAACUAAACACACGACGGAAACGGAAAUAAAAGGGGGGAAUCUUCUGGGCGUCGGGCUCGGGCUGUCACAACUCUCCUACACUACAAGAGGAUCUCGCCCCGAGAUCCAAGAAUGAAAGGGGGGAGAGGAUGAGAAAUAAUAAGAGGUAAAACUUAGUCGCUUCUUUGACAAACGAGUGACACCAACAAUCCUUGAAGGUUGCAAAGAGAUGAGGACUUAUAAGAGAAACAAGCAAGAAUUCACGGAAAAUUUCGGCAGCACUUCGAUAGGAAAAAUGGGACAAAAAAUUCGAUAAGAUGGUAGAAUUAGACAAUAUACACAACAAACAAGUAAAUAGAGCAAGGGAACACCAUGUUCUUGAUAGAAGAACAUAAUAGACCCAAAAGAGCAACAACACAAUGCCUCCGGAACAAGAAAAUAUGAACUAGCUCAAGCGGAAGAAGAGAAUGAAGCAAAAUAAUGACAACUAUCAACACAAUAGAAUUGAAGAGCCUCCAGACAGAGAAUUGACUUAGUAGUUGGAAAACCAACAACGAAAAGAACAAGAUAGUAGUGGGCUUAUGGAAACGUUUUCAAACUAAUGAAGUGACAACCAGCCACUAACAGAAACAAGGAUUGUUUGGGAGAAACAAGAUAUGAACAAUUUCUUACACCAAGAGGAUACAUUGAGAACUUGGAUUAAUGACAAGCACCAUGAUAGCAGCAAUCCAUAGGAAAAGCUUUAGGUGAAAUCCAAACCAAGAUAGCUCAAUGAAGAAACCAUGGGUUGCAAAUAUCUCUUAAUCAAAGAAUCGGUGGAUUUAAUUAUCUCACUCUUGAAAGGAAAACUCUUCGAUGCUCCUACACUAAUAAUAAUGCUAUAAUACCACCUCAAAGGAUAAAGGAAGAACCAUUGCACCUAGACAUGCAAGAGAAAGGAUACUUGAGGUUCUCCAACAAGAAUCUUGAAGAACACUAGAGAAUGAAUUGAAACCUUGAUGAACCAUCAUGAAGGACCACCAUAUACAAAUGACCAAUGCGAAGAUAAUGAAGGUAAAAAGUAAUAAGAUUGAAGCCUUGCAAAGACUUCGAUGAAGCUUCACGAAGAGAUACUUGAGAAAACUUGGAACUCCGGAAAAGAAAGAUAAGAACACUUGAGAAAAAAGAAUUGAUAUUAUGAGCCACUCCGGAAGAAGAAUUCAGAUUACUAAGAACAAUAAUAAGAAUUAUGUUAUGCUUAUCCUUCAUCAAGUUUAAUUGAUGACAAGCAACCGAUUUAGCAUAUCACUUAUUCUACUAGAAAUGAAUCUUGAAGAGACAGAGAGAUAAGCACCACUUGAAGUAAAAUUAAGGAAGCACCGGUAAGAAUUCACAAUUAAAUGAGAACACCACGAAUUAAUGGAGAUACAUGACAAGCCACCUGAGAGAAGAAAACUAGAACAAAGCACCGGAAUAACCGAGAGACGAACGAAGAGACAACAAUUGAGAAGAAUUGAGGAUGAAAGCUGCAAGCUGAGAACGAAGAAGUCUUCUAAAAUGAUGGCCUUCGGAGGAUCGAGAAUGAAAAACAAAUCAUAAAAGCACCGAAUAGCAAAAAAGGGAUUGCUCAGGACUGACAACAAUUAAGAAGAUGGCACCAAGUUGAAAUGAUGAAUCUCCAAGAGAAUGAACCAAGAUUGAGAGAAACACUCCUUCGAAUUUGCAAGCUGAGAAUGAUGACGAGGAACAACACCAAGAAUAGCUGAGACACUCCGGAAUAAAGAAGAAUGAAAGGUUGAGCCAAUAUGAGAAUUAAUUCAAAUAGAUCUUGACGAAGGGAUAUGACUGAAGAAAUUCAUACUUACGUCAUAGUUGAAAAGAAUUAAAGAUCUCCGGAAGAUUACAAGAAUUAUAACAGAUCCUCGGAAAAACCUGUGGGUUAUGGGCCCACUCAAAGAAAUCACCGUUGAAAAGAUUACUAGAACGGGAGAUAUUGCACCGGUACAAGAAAACUAGAUGAGGUUAGCACCACAAAAUAACUGAAGGAUUGAAAAGAAGAACUUCUAAAAUAUCUUUAACACUCCGGAUAGAAAGAGAGAGGAAUUAAUAAACAAGAUAGGCUGAAAGAAUUUCCAACGUCGGAAAGAAUUUAAUGGUUGAAAAGGAUAUGAUGACCAUGGAUAACUGAACUGAAUUCACCGGUAAGGAUGACAAGAAUGAAUAAAGAUGAACAUGAAGCUCCUGAGAAUCUUCACAACGAAUCACCGGGUAAGAGAGAAAAGAACACACAGCGGAAGCACAAUAAAAAGAAAACUCUUGGAUGAAAAUUGAAUCACUGAGAAAAAGGGCGGGAGGGUGGGGAAAAACAAAGACAACUUGAGACAGAUGAGGCAACUCCGGUAAUACAAUGAGAGAAUGAUCUUGCAAAAUUAGAGAGGAUUGAAUUCACUGAAGAGAAGCACACCGGUUGGAAAAGAAUUGAUAUGACAACUCCGGUAGACAAGAAUUGAUAUGACAAUUUGAACGAACAAAAGAAUUUGCAUUCUCACAAAAAUAUGAGAACACCGCUUAGAGAAGAUCUGAAAUCACCACUUGACAUCGAAUAAACUAGAAUUACCAUAUUCCAACAAAAACAAAGAUGCGGCUUGCAAUUUGCCAGAACAAACUCAUGAGAAAGAUUUCGUCCGAUAUUUUCGUGGACAGGAAUCCACUAGAUAUCGAACCCCAACCUAACAUCAUGCAUUUGUUGGAAGAUUGUCCUAUAAGCAACUACUUGAAUUCCCACCUAUGAAUUCGCGAAAUAUCUGGUCAUGCAAUCUGGUACACGGAUACAAGGAGUAAUAUCACACAACUCCUAUACUAACCCGUCACCUGUAUCACAUCCGUCAACACACGACCAGAAUCUCGGACCUUCAUCUACAACAGACCCUCAUGAUGACAACGAUACAAAGUAUGGCAAUACUCCCGAACAAUCUGCACCAGUACUGGGGACAUCGGGGUUAUCUCGCCACUACUAGUAUUGAAGCAAUUACGAACAUCCUUCGUUCUUAGAUACUAAGAAAUCUGAAUGAUAACGAUGUGAUCAAGAAUCCCCUGGAGCUCAACUCCCCUAAAACUCAAAGCAGAUAGGAGGAACCAAGACAGAACUCCGUCACAUCGGCAUCAUAUAGAUUCCAAAAAUAUCCGCGUGAUCCUAAAAAAAUUGAGUGAGAAGAGGGGUAGAGCAAAUUAUUACGUCAAGAUUCCUCACCAGAGCAUAGAAGAGGAGAAAAAAGAAUCCUACUCUCCGAUAUAUAACUGAGACUCAAAUAGUUUUUCACUAGACUCGACUCGGCCAAGUUCGAUCAAUCAAGGGGCUCCUAGGUCGGUACUGCUCUGAUACCAACUUGUCACGAUGAGAUGCGCUUCUAUCCCUGACGAGGCCUUCGUGCCAAAUUGAGGAUAGGGACGCAUCUUGGGCGUGACAUAUGAUCUCUUCAUUCUCAUGUAUAUCCAUUAAUUCGUGGUGUUCCCAUUCAAUUGUGAAUUCUUACCGGUGCUUCCUUCAAUUUUGCUUCAAGUGGUGUUUUUCUCUCUGUUUUUCCAAGAUUCAUUUCUAGAGGAAUAAGUUGUAUGCUUAAUCCGUUGUUUUUUCAUCAAUUUAAUUUGAUGAAGGAUGAGCAUAACAUAAUUCUUAUUCUUGUUCAUAGUAAUCUGAAUUCUUCUUCCAGAGCGGCUCAUUAUGUCAAUUCCUUUUUCUCAAGUGUUCUUACCUUUUCUUUUGCGGAGUUCCAAGUUUUCUCAAGUAUCUCUUUGUGAAGCUUCAUCUAAAUCUUGGCAAGGUCAUAAUCUUAUUCUUUUCUACCUUCAUAUCUUUGCAUCGUUCAUUUGUAUACGGAGGUCCUUCUUGGUGGUUCAUCAAGGUUUCAAUUCAUUCUCAAGUGUUCUUCAAGAUUCUUGUUGGAGAACCUCAAGUUUUCUUAUCUUGCAAUUUCAAGUGCAUUUGUUCUUCCUUAUCCUUUGAGGUGGUAUUAUAGCAUUCUUGUUAGUGUAGGGGCCUCGAAGAGAUUUCCUUUCAAGAAUGAGAUAAUUAAACCCACCAAUUCUGUGAUCAUGAGAUAUUUUCAACCCAUGAUUUCUUCAUUGAGCUAUCUUGGUUUGGAUUUCACCUAAAGCUUUUCCUAUGGAUUGUUGCUAUCAUGGUGCUUAUCAUUAAUCCAAGUUCUCAAUGUAUCCUCUUGGUGUAAGAAAUUGUUCAUAUCUUGUUUCUCCCAAUCAAUCCUUGUUUCUUUUAGUGGCUGGUUGUCACUUCAUUAGUUUGAAAAGGUUUCCAUAAGCCCACUACUUUCUUGUUCUUUUUGUUGAUUGUUUUUCCAACAACUCCGUUCAAUUCUUUUUGCAAAGAUUCUUGCCAAGUUCAUUUGAGUUAGUAGUUGUCAUUCUUUUCUUCAUUCUCUUCUUCCGUAUGAGCUAGUUCCUAUUCUAUUGUUCCGGAGGCAUUGCGAUGUUGCCCUUUUGGGUCUAUUAUGUUGUUCUACCAAGAGCAUGGUGUUCCCUUGUUCUAUUUAGUUGUUUGUAAUAAAUAUGGUCUAUUUCUUCCAUCUUAUCGAUUUUUUUUGUCCCAUUUUCCUACCGAAGUGUUGCCAAAAUUUUCUGUGAAUUCUUGCUUCUUUCUCAUAUCAUCCCUCAUCUCCUUGCAACCUUCAAGGAUCGUUGGUUUCACUCGUUUGUCAAAAAGCGACUAAAUUUUUUCCUUCUGUCCUUUCUCAUCCUCUCCCCCUUUCAUUCUUGGAUCUCGGGGCGAGAUCCUCUUGUAGUGUAGGAGAGUUGUGACAGCCCGAUGCCGGCGUUCGAGAAGAUUCCCCUUCUAUUCCGUUUUCGUCGUGUGUCUAUUUUAUUUUUGUUGCAUCAUGCGCAUCAUCUGCAUUGCAUCGGCAUCUCCGUGCCGCCAGUUUUCAAAAGUUGCAUCCGUUGUUAGUUGCCGGUUCGCGUCGUUAUCCGUUCUAAGCCCAACCGCACACGCACGCGCCCGUGGCAUCGUCAAAACCGUGUUUUAAAAGUGUGUUGAAAACUUUCUCUGAUCGAGGUGAAACUUGGCAGGCGGUCGUGAUUAGUUAUAGCUAGGCCGCUUGUCGAAUUUCGUCGCGAUCGGAGUCCAUCUGGUACCCGAACGGUCGACCGUAGCGGCACCGUAUUCGGUCUACCGUCGGAUGGUUGACGGUGUUUUAAAAAUCGUUGCCGCGCUGCCCGUUCUCCCUCGCAUCUCCGGAUAACCAACCUACACGGCCAUUUAGUCUGUCCCGCGUUCGGAAUUACUCGAAUCCGACCGCGCGGUUGAAACCGGGGCGAAAAACUGCUAAACCUAGCCCCCCAUUGUUAUAAAUAGGACCCCAUGCCAUUUUUGGACAACCUCUCUCUCUCCCUCGUUUUCCGUGCAAACCCUAGACCCGCCUUGUAAUCCGCGCCCCAGCCAGCCUCCACCCACCUCGUGAGCCCCAGAUCUGAUCCAGCCUAGCUCACCCUAUCUGGACCGUCGGAUCUCGGAUCCAACAGCCGAGGGAGCCUCCCUCCUCCUGCCCGAGAUCCCUCCCAUGGCAGCGCCUCCCCUGCCGAGCAGCCCGCGCGCCUUCCCCCAUCAUCGGCCGGUGCGCCCGUGCUGCCCGCCGUCCUCCACCUGCGCCUCNUUCCCGCCGCUAGCCGUAGCUCGCCUCCGACCAGCCCGAUCCGCGUCGUCCUCCGCCCGAAGCUCGCGCCGCCGCCGGGAAUGCUCCUCCCGUGCACGGAUCCGUCCAGCCCCACCACUUCCCCAUGGCCUCGUCGCCCUAGGCCUCUCUGUGUGCGGAGUCCCCUGCGCCGCCGCCAUGGCACCUGCACGAGGAGGAUGACGAUCGAUCCGCCAGCGCCUCACUCGCCCGCUGCGCGCUUGGGCCGCCUUUGGUCGUGGGCCACGUGCCCCCACGAGGCCCACCACCGCCUCGGUUUGCCUUCUCCACGAGGCCUAGUAUGUCGCAGCCUCCGGCCGGCCCAAGGGGCCCCCCAAGGUGAGCCCCAUGUACUCUAUUCCCCGCCCCGUGCGCUGGAUAGUAUUCUGCGCCCAUGUGUCGGCCCGUUAGCUAUUUAGCUUUUUGGAAUAAAUAUAAAUUCCAAAAAAAUAGGUAAAUAUUUAAACGUCCGUAACUUCUAUUCCGUUAGUCGGUUUGCGACGUGUAGUAUAUGGUUUUCGUGUAGUUUCUCGCGUAGAAUACGAUUUCACAACUUGCAUAUUUGUUUGACAUCGUUUAGCGUGUCGUUUGCCUAGAAACACGUGAUAUCCUAUCAUGUUUGCGUCCCGUAUUUAUUUUUCCCGUGUGUCCGGUUUGCCCGAAUGCCUUAGAUAAAAUGUUCAUGCUCGCUCUAGGGACCCAUUUGCCAUGUAUUUUAGAGUAGCCGAUGGUAUUUUUGCACGUAGGGAUUUGCCGCUAGAUUAUUUUCCGUGUUCAGGACGUUAUCUCGCAUUUACGUGCGACGAUAUUUUUAUGUUGCAGCCCCACAUGUUUUAUAUGCUUUCGGGGUAGAAAAAUCCAUAGGAUUUUUCUGUGCAAUUAGUUUUAGCUUUUGAGUAAGUUAGUUUGCGCGAUAUUUUUUCCAUGUUACCCUUUUGUCUUUUUCGUAGGAUUUGUUCCGUGCUUCGUUUGAUUAAUUCGUAAACUAGAGAGUUGUUCUUUGAUGUUUAGUCUAGCCCCAGGUAUUUUUGGUGGCAAUAGAAAUGCAUGUUUAGGUGUGGUUUGCUUGCUCUCAAGUUGCUAGAAAUAGUGCUGAUUUGGAGGUGCUGAAAUAUUUCUAAGUCUGGAUUCUGUUAUAUUUUUUUGAUGUUUUGUUUUGCUUCUAUCUUGUGAUCUGUAGCUCUUUUGAGGUUGGUCCAAUGGAGUUAGUUGUAAACCUUGUGUUUCUAUAGCAUGCUGUGAAUUUUCAUGCCAUUUGGAGUCUUGUACUUAUGGUUUUGCUGCUGUCAAUAUGGCUUCAGAUCGAAAACUGCACUUUCAUGAAGUGUAAUUUUCACCAAGUCUGAAACUGUGUGUGAGAAGCCAUUUUUGACUUCUUUUCCUAGUGUUCCAUGAUGCCAUGCUAGUUGUUAUUAGUUGUUUGUUGUAGUGCUUCUUGCCCUCUUUCGUGACAUGCCUUGGUUGAUUAUAUUUGAGUUGUGUAGCUCGUAGUUGUGGGGUGUAGAGAAUGCUAUGUGGCUGAUUUUGGCAGAUUGUAGUGAUUUCUUGUUUUGCUCGUAGUUGUUGAACCGUAGCUCCGAUUUGAUCGUGCCCAAUAUGAAACUUGCCUAGAAUCUCAUGUAGUUUCAUUUUAUCUUGCUGAUUGUAUGUUUUGAAGUGCUCGUGACCGUCGUUGCACGCAUAUUGCAUUCAUGCCAUCAUAUCUUGCGGUGCUUGUAUCUUUUGAACCGUAGCUCCGUUGGAGAUGAUCUCUAUGUGUAAAUUGCUUGUAGCGAUGCGUAGAAUCAUGUGAACCUAUUUCUUUUGCUGUUUAACAACCAAUUAAAUGUGUUAGUUUAGAUCUGGACAGAAUUGUAAAUUAACCUAUGAGGUCGUUUCGGAGGUGCUAUAUGUCAUUUCCGACCUCAUUUAAAAUGCCUAGAUAGGUAGAUUAAUUGCGCUUCACCUCUUGCCAUGUUUAACCACAUUUAAUAUUGUCGUGUACCUAAUCGGGAUAGAACUAAAUAAUUAAACAUGGAGUUUCGUCAAUAUGCAACUUGUUGCAUAUUGAACUUCACUUAAUGUGUAGUGUUUCUUUGUGUGAAUUGUCAUGCUGUGACUUGCAUGUAUUCAGCUGCUCAUGCAUCAUAUGUGUUGUGCAUCGUGUGGUGAAUUGCGUGUGUUGAUUUGUGUUUCCGGUUUGCUUCGUCUCGUUAGAGUUCUGCAGCGUGCCGGAUUGUGUGGACCCGUUAGACUACGUUGGUUCGUCUGCUUCACGGAGUCAUUCUUCUUCCAAGCGGGAUCUCAGGCAAGAUGACCAUUUCCCCAGAUACCAUUACUAUCAUUGCCAUGCUAGUUUUAUCGCUUCUAACGUUAUGUCUCGUUGCCUACCACAUGUUUACAUAUCAGCCUCUCAACAAUGCCAUGAUAACCUUCAACAUGUUCGACCUAGCAAACCACUGAUUGGCUAUGUUACCGCUUGCUUAUCCAUGUUGUUAGCGUUGCUAGUUGCAGGUGUAAUUGCGUCCAUGUGAUAACAUGGGUUCAUUGUUAUAUCACCCUAUUUAAUGUUAUUUAAAUUUAACGCACCUAUAUACUUGGUAAAAGGUGGAAGGCUCGGCCUUUCUAGCCUCGUGUUUUGUUCCACCUUUGCCCCCUUAGUUUCCGGCUACCGGUGUUAUGUUCCAUAAAUGAGCGCUCCUAACACGAUCGGGGUUGUUAUGGGGACCCCCUUGAUAAUUCGUUUUAGAUUAAAGCUGGUCUGGGAAGGCCCAACAUUGGUACUACAUUUGCCUAAUCACCUAAUAAAAUUGCAUAGGGACUUUCCGGACCCCGAGGAUAAUUUAAUCAACCCCCGGGCCAGUGCUCGUCAUGAGUGUUGGUCCAAAACAGAGCAGCUUAUUAACGCUACCCGGGGCAACUCGGUGUUUGGCGUGGUAACCAUCGCUCAUCCGUCGUGUCCUGAGAACGAGAUACGCGGCUCCUAUCGGGAUUGUCGACACGUCGGGCGGCCUUGCUGGAUUAGUUUUACCUUUGACGAAAUAUCUUAUGCAUCGGGAUUCCGAUGAUGCUUUGGGUAAUCUCAGAGUUGAGGUUUUCCACUAAGGAAUCCGACGAGAUCGCGAGUGUUGUGAUUGAGGAUUUCUAUGCGGCUUGUGGUAAUUUGUGAUGGACUAGUUGGAGCACCCCUGUAGGGUUAAAUCUUUCAGAAAGCCAUGCCCACGGUUAUGUGGCAACGUGGAAACUUUGUUUAACUCUAGUUCUAGAUAACUUGAAGUUAACUUAAUUAAAAUAUGCCAACUGUGUGCGUAACCGUGACUGUCUCUUUCGUGAGUUCCUUCUCCGAUCGAGGACAUGGUGCGGUUAUGUCUGACGUAGGUAGGUGUUCAGGAUCAUUCAUUUGGUCAUCAGUAGUUCACGUUCGUUACGCGUAGAUCUUCCCCCUCUUAUUUCUUGUACUCGUAAGUUUAGCCACCCAAAUAUAUGCUUAGCCGUUGCUGCAACCUCACCACUUAACCAUACCGCACCCAGUAAGCUUUGCUAGUCUUGAUACCUUUGGAAAUGAGAUUGUUGAGUCCCCUGUGGCUCAGAGAUUACUACAACACCAGUUGCGGGUACAGGUAAAGGUUAAUUGACGCGAGUGCGUUGAUUGUUCAUUUGGAGUUGCUUCUUCUUCUUCAUCAUCGAUCUAGGAUGGGUUCCAGGUCAGCAGCCUGGGAUAGCAAGGAUGGACGUCGUUCUUCUUUUCUCGUUUGUUUUCGUUCGUAGUCGGACCCUGCUCUUCUUCAUGAUGAUUAUGUAUUGUACUGAUGUGACUCUGAUGUAGCUUGUGGCGAGUGUAAGCCAAUUCUAUAUAUAUCUCUUCCUUUCAGUACCUGUACUUGUAACGAUAUUCAUUCUUGCGACAUGACGAGAUGCGCUUCUAUCCCUGACGAGGCCUUCGUGCCAAAUUGAGGAUAGGGUCGCAUCUUGGGCGUGACACUUCACUUAUAUCUUUUGAGCUAGAUAACUUUGCUCUAGUGCUUCACUUAGAUCUUUUUAUAGCAUGGCGGUGUCAUAUUUUGAAGAAAUAAAAACUCUCGAUCUUCACUUAUAUCUUUUUGAGAGUGCUCUCUCUCUCAGUAACUUGGUAAUUGGCUUGUGCUAUGAAAGUAGUCCUAAAGAUGAUAGGCAUCCAAAGAGGAUAAAAUAAAAACAUCCAUAUUCAAGUGCAUUGAUUAGUAAGAGAAGUUUGAUUCCUAACAAUUAAGUUUUGAGGUAUGGAUUUGGUAAUAUUAGAGUUAUGUUAGUAGGGUGUUGUGAAUCUAGAAAAACUUGCGUUGAAGUUAGUGAUUCCCGUAGCAUGCACGUAUGGUGAACCGCUAUGUUAGGAAGUCGGAGCAUAAUUGAUUUAUUGAUUGUCAUCCUUUGUGUGGCGGACGGGAUCGCGCGAUGGUUAACACCUACCAACCCGUCCCCUAGGAGUAUGCGUUUAGCACUUUGUUUCGAUUACUAAUAAAACUUUCGCAAUAAGUAUAUGAGUUCUUCAUGACUAAUGUGAGUCCAUGGUAUAGAUGCACUUUCACCUUCCACCAUUGCUAGCCUCUCUAGUGCCGCGCAACUUUCGCCGGUGCACAAACCCACCAUAUACCUUCCUCAAAACAGCCACAUACCUACCUAUUAUGGCAUUUUCAUAGCCAUUCCGAGAUAUAUUGACAUGCAACUCCCACCGUUCCGUCUCAUGACUUGUGCCGUCACUUUCAUAUUGCCAUUGCAUGAUCGUAAGAUAGCUAGCGAGAUGUUUCAACGUCAUACGCUAAGCUAGAUCGUUGCACAUCCCGGUACACUGCCGGAGGCAUUUCCUAUGGAGUCAUCAUUGUUCUAAGUAUUGAGUUCUGAGUAAAUAAAAGUGUGAUGAUCAUCAUUAUUAGAGCAUUGUCCCAUGUGAUGAAAUAAAAAAAAGAGGCCAAAGAUGCCCACCAAAAAAAUGAAAAGAGGCCAAAGAGCCCAAACAAAAAAAGAAGAGAGAAAAAGAGAGAAGGGACAAUGCUACUAUCUUUUUCCAGACUUGUGCUUCAAAAUAGCACCAUGUUCUUCAUGAUAGAGAGUCUCUUGUUUUGACACUUUCAUAUACUAGUGGGAAUUUUCAUUAUAUAACUUGGCUUGUAUAUUCCAAUGAUGGGCUUCCUCAAAAUUGCCCUAGGUCUUCGUGAGCAAGCAAGUUGGGUGCACACCCACUAGUUCUCCUUUUGAGCUUUCACACACUUAUAGCUCUAAGUGCAUCCAUUGCAUGGUAAUCCCUACUCAUUCACAUUGAUAUCUAUUGAUGGGCAUCUCCAUAGCCCGUUGCUACGCCGAGUCGAUGUGACCAUCUCCUCCUUUUUGCCUCACAACCUCCACCACACUCUAUUCCACCUAUAGUGCUAUAUCCAUGGCUUACGCUCAUGUAUUGCGUGAGAGUUGAAAAAGUUUGAGGAAGUCAGAGUGCGAAAACAAAUACUUAGCCAAUACCGGGGUUGUGCAUGAUUUAAAUUCGUUGUGUGGGGAUGAUGGAGCAUAGCGAGACUAUAUAAUUUUAUAGGGAUAACUUUCUUAGGCCUUGUUAUUUCAAAAGUUCAUGGUCACUUUGCUAGUAUGCUUGAAGUAUUAUUGUUUUCGUGUAAAUAGUAAACUAUUGUUUUGAAUCUUACGGAUCUGAAUAUUCAUGCCACAAGAAAGAAGUUACAAAGGACAAAUAUGUUAGGUAGCAUUCCACAUCAAAAAUUCAGUCUUUAUCACUUCCCUACUCGAGGACGAGCAGGAGUUAAGCUUGGGGAUGCUUGAUACAUCUCCAACGUAUCUAUAAUUUUCUAUGGUUCCAUGCUAUUAUCUUGUCAACUUUGGAUGUUUUGUAUGCAUGAAUAUGCUAUUUUAUAUCUUUUUUGGGACUAACCUAUUAACUCAGUGCCAAGUGCCAGUUUCUGUUUUUUCGUGUUUUUGACCUUUUUCAGAGAAGAAAAUUAAACGGAGUCCAAACGGAAUAAAACCUGCGGAAUGAUUUUUUCCAUAACAGAAGAUAUGCAGGGGACUUGAGAAUCAAGGCAAAGGACCCCGGGGGAGGUCACAAUCCCCCUAGCCGCGGCCUGGGGGGCGCGCCUAGCAGGCUUGUGGGCCCCCCGUGGCUCCUUUGCCCUACUUCUUCCGCCUAUAAAUUCUCUAAAAAUCCAAAACCACCAAAGAGAGCCACGAAAAUACUUUUCCGCCGCCGCAAGCUUCUGUCUCCGCAAGAUCCCAUCUGGGGACCGUUCUGGUGCCCUGCCGGAGGGGGGAUUCAGACACGGAGGGCUCCUUCAUCAACACCAUUGCCUCUCCAAUGAUGCGUGAGUAGUUCACCACAGACCUUCGGGUCCAUAGCUAGUAGCUAGAUGGCUUCUUCUCUCUCUUGGAUCUUCAAUACAAAGUUCUCCAUGAUCUUCAUGGAGAUCUAUCCGAUGUAACAUUCUUUUGCGGUGUGUUUGUCGAGAUCUGAUGAAUUGUAGAUUUAUGAUCAGAUUAUCUAUGAAUAUUAUUUGAGUCUCCUCUGAUCUCUUUUAUGCAUGAUUUUGUAUCCUUGUAAUUCUCUUCGAGUUGUGGAUUUCGUUUGGACAACUUGAUCUAUAAUUCUUGCAAUGGAAGAAGUGCUUGGUUUAGGGUUCAUGUCGUGCGGUGUCCUCACCUAGCGACAGAAGGGGUAGCGAGGCACGCAUCGUGUUGUUGCCAUCAAGGGUAAAAAGUAUGGGUUUAUAUCUAUUGCAAGAAUUUAUCCCUCUACAUCAUGCCAUCUUGCUUAAGGCGUUACUCUGUUUGUUAUGAACUCAAUACACUAGAUGCAUGCUUGAUAGCGGUUGAUGUGUGGAGUAAUAGUAGUAGAUGCAGACAGUAUUGGUCUACUUGUCUCGGACGUGAUGCCUAUAUGUAUGAUCAUUGCCUUAGAUAUCAUCAUGACUUUGCGCGAUUCUGUCAAUUGCUCGACAGUAAUUCGUUCACCCACUGUAAUACUUGCUAUCAUGAGAGAAGCCUCUAGCUAUGGCCCCGGGGUCUACUUCACAUCAUAUUUUCAGAUCUACACUUUUACUUUGUUGCACUUUCCACCUUCAGAUCUCACCUUGCAAAUAAUCGUAAAGGGAUUGACAACCCCUUUAUAGCGUUGGGUGUAAGUUUGUUUGUUUUUGCGCAGGUACAUUGGUGCCUCAUCUUGAUGCUCUUACUAGAUUGGUACCUUGGUUCUCAAACUGAGGGAAAUACUUACUGCUACUGUGUUGCAUCACCCUUUCCUCUUCAAGGGAAAAACCAAUGCAAGCUCAAGAGGUAGCAACCAUAUGUUUGAGGGUUUGGUAAUCAUAUGUACGAUAUUUAUGUAACCACAUAUUUGACAAACUUAAGAGUUGUCUUUGUGAUCAUUUGGAAAUGAUCAAUUCCCAAUUAAAAUACAAUUCUUUCAUUGGUUGUCUUUAGCCUCCACUUUACUUUGAAUUCUGCAUGGUUCUAUUUGUGACCAUUCCAAAUGUGCUCAUGGCAGCAUGUUUCUCUUAAGGGAAAUAUUCAAGGUGAAUAAAUAUUCAUCCAUUUAUGUACUUAGCUUGAGAAUCAAGUGAAGUUGGUUACAUAUAAAAUGCAAUAUGUACAUACAUAGCUAUUAAGAGAAUAUCCAUAAAAUAUGUUCCUGAAGGUGGAGUUAUAGUGGCAAUAAUAUCACGGGUGGAUACAACGACUGAUGCCAUAAAUCAACAUACAAUAAAUAAUAUCACCUAACAUGUACUUAUUGUAUUUAGAAAUGUCAACCAUGCUUACUUGAAGAUGCUAAUGCAUUUAUUUAAUUUACUUCUAGGAGUAAGUGGCAUCUAUGAAUAAAUGAUUUGUUUGAGAACAAACAUCGCCAAGGUGAUCCGUGGUGAACUUGGGUGUAUCCUUCAGUUCAACACAUGUGAUGAAAUUAUUGCUAAUGUUUUGGAAUUCAUUCUUGAGGAAGUGUGUGACUUUAGAGUCACUGCCAAAACGUACAGACUUGCAUGUUUAACAUUGGUUAGUCACUAUGAAACUAUAACCACGAUGUGGUGUGGACCUUGCGAAAGUGUUGAGACACUCAAUCAUUGCCAUGUGUUUUACCAAUGUAAUAGAAGGUAAUCAUACGUAUAUGCAAAUAUUUCCUUAGUUUGCUAUUACAUAUUCAAGCAAAGUGUGCAAGAACAAUAUUUACUAUGAGAGUAAAAUAUUUUAGUGAACAACAACAAAAAAUGUUUCGGAGGAGCAAAUACUAGUACAGCUGACGCCUUAUAGACAUAUGUUACCUCUAUGGGUGAACCAGAGAUAAUUAAUUUACCUACAGUAAAUUUAAGACCAUCAUGGUUGAUGUUGUAAUGAAUUUAGUAAAAUUAAUGGGUAUUUCAAGAACUUAUCUUGAAACCAUUAAUGUGAAUCUCAAAUUGCUAAAUAUGGUACCUUCAAGAUAAUCUCCAAAAUGGAGUAGAUCUCGCGGCACUAGGGAGUAUAAUCUGAUGAAGUCACUAGACUCACUCGUAGUGCCUUAUGUCAUGACUUAGUAAAAUGUGUGGGACAGCACUUUGUAAAACAAUCAUAAUGUCAAGACGACAAAAUGUAGGCUUUAUCAAUAAUCAUUGAUAAUCUGCAUGGGCGGUAGAUCCAUAUGACUACCUUGUGAUCCCAAGCAUCAAUUUGAAAAAUAACACUUCAAAAUUUGCAUAUUUAUUUGCAAGAAAUUGAAAAUCUCAAUUGCAAAUAGACGUAUUGAUCUUGACAUGCGUUGAACAUGGAAAUAAAUACAUUUCGAAAUACAUCGUACUCAACAGAGAAACAGUACCGUAGAAGUACUGAAUUUAUCUUCGCAAGACAUUAAAAAUCUCUAUUGCAAAUGGACAAAAUUAAUCUCAACACGUGAUAAACAUGAAAAUAUAUUUCAUCAACUUAAGAUCUGGAAUACAACUCGGUACUCAACAGAAAUACACUACUAUUGUAAUGAAUAGUAAUGAUGUUGAAAACUUGAUGCUCAAGUGAAAACUUAAAUUGUAUAGACCUCAAAUUAAAUGAGAUGAUCUUGUAUCAAAUUGCAAGAUAAUUCAGCAGAGUGAAUUAAUGUUUUGCGAGAGAAAAUUGAUCUCAAUCGCAGUGAGAUUGUUUUCGAAAAAAGAAAACAAAUUCAAUCGCAAAUCAAUAUUGUUUUGCGAGAAAACUUAAUCUCAAUCGCAAAUCAAUAUUGUUUUGCGAGAAAACUUAAUCUCAAUCGCGGAAAACAUGUGCUAGAAAAUUUGAUAUGUGGUAAACACAUUGAACAUGUCAAGUAUCAAUGUACAAAUAUUUCUGGAAUUUUAAAACUCAACAGAAAACAGUACUAAAAUUAUGGACUAUUUUAGCAGAUCUAAAACAAAAGUAAAUUACUGCUAGAAGUGUUGUUAGGAGAUUAAUUGCUAAUCUGCUAAACAAAGAUGCAAAUAAGCAAAUAAAACAGGCGUUGCGGCCUGCAUAAAGUACCAGCCACAAGCAAAUUUGCCACGUGAAGGCAGCCCAUCCAGGCCAACGCGAGCAGAUAAGGAAGAGGGACCAGAGGAAAUAUCCACCACCGCUUUCGUUCCCAAAUCGCACCGAGACGGGCGGAGACUCCCACGGCUAGUUGGCCACUUCACCGGCGGAGAGGUGAGCCCCCUCCGUGCUCGUCAUCUUCCUUGGGAGAGGAACCACCAAGGAGCCCGUGGCUGGAAGCCACGCUGAUGAAGGCGCCGUUUGCGGCACCGUUCAUGAGAUCGAGCGCCGCGUCCGAGCGCGGGCGAGCGCAACCAUGGCCUGGUGUGGGCUCGAGCGGGCGUGGGCGUGGCGUGGCCUGGCGCUGUNCGGCCACGCAAACGGGCGCGGGGUAUGGGCGGGCGCCACAGCCACGGCGUUCAAUGUCAGGCCGAACCACCAAAGGACGCUGCGUGCUCCUCCCUAGGAGUCGCGUCGGGCGUUGCCACACUUUCAUCGACCGCCUUCGUCGUCGCGUGGAUGUAGAAGAUGCGGGUGCGCCGCUGUCGAGGAACCGCUGUGGGCUCCAUCGCGAGCCGUGAUGGGGAGGGCGUCGGCCACUACUGUCUGCGUCCGGGAGAAGGAGAACGAGAGGGCGAGACCAAACCAUGCGCUGGAGGGCGCCAGGUCGAGCACUGGCACCUGGGCUCCAGCGCCGCUUCGCAUGUGGUUGGUCAUCGGCGACGAGAACGACAUCCGUAACUGUCUGGAUGGACUGAUCUCUCUUGUGGCCUUCUGCUCUCGGUAGAGACACGUGACUGAUAACGUAUUAAACGGAAACGAGAUUGAAUGAAAGUGAAUGGACAAUUAGUCUUGUUUCUAUUGAUUCUCAAGUAUACAUACAUCUGAAAAAGGUGCGAAGAAUAGGUGUAUGUUCGAAGACAUCCCUUCAGAACAGGUGCGUAUUGACAAUAGAGAGAGAGGAGACACGAUUGUUCGGAGUUGGACACAUCCCUUGAGUUAAUGUACUGACUAAUUUCUAACAGGCAUGCAGAUCCUACCCCAAGCGACCUUGCAUUAGCCACUGUGGCAAAAUUCCUGGCCUUUCCAAAGCCAUGCACGCCUAAUCUUGUCGAUUUGCCAGCUCACCCACCUCGGCAUCUCAUGCGCCGACAUCUAGUGCACCGUGAACGCUGAGAACACCCAGUUGAGGAGGACCAGCCUGCGUGCGGUAGCAAGCAAUUUGAACUUCCAACACGCCAACCUUGCCAAGAUUUUUUCAAUAAGCGGUUGCAUAUCACUCUUGCGCAGCUUGUGGAGGGAGAGCGGGAGACCGAGAAAUCUACAUGGAAAGGUUGUGCAUAUGGCCCCCAGGGGUCCGACCACGUCGUGUAAGCAGAAGAUGUCGUCAUUGAUGGCCAACAUCGUACUCUUGGUGAAAUUUACUUUGAGUCCCGUAGCGUCCGCGAAUGCUCGAAGGAUUGAUCGCAGCGUUAGCAUUUCCUGUCUCAUUGGGUUGAGAAAGACUGCGACAUCAUUAGCGUACAAACAAGUGCUUCUAGUCAAUUCUCACUUGUGGGCGUUGAUGUUGGUCUUCUAGUGGACCACUAUUUUCCACCACCAUCCCUCGUGGUGAGGAUGUGUAGCACCGCGCGGCCGUUCAAGUCAAUGUUGUCGAUUCCCAUAUCUUCCGAGAGAAGCUCCUCAACCUGUACACACCGCUAACAAUAGCUACUUUGUCGUGUCCAAGUUCUCUCACAUGCUAAUCACAACAUCAAUUGGUGGCUUGAGAUUAAAAUGAGCAUCAAAUACACUUACACUGGUAAUGUUUCAAACAAUAUGGGCACUGUCCCCAUGUGAAAAAUACAAUCCAUUGAUAAACAUUUUGCGUUUGCAUUGGGCGUCCUGCUCUAUUAGAUAGUGGCCUCUAACGUGCAGUGUGACGUGUGGCACGUUGGCUGGUGAUUGUUCAGUUUACGUAGGUGCCUUGUGACGUGUGGCACGUUGAUUGGUGAUUGUUUAAUUUAUGCAUAGGUGUCUUGUACUUCACCUUCCUCGUGCUGCCGUAAAAACAUUGUUUGCUAAUAUUCCAUGGGUUUCCAAGUAUAAAUAACGGUUUGCUAAAGCACAUAUCAUUGAUUUUACUUGAAGAUUCAUACAGAUAUUUUCUUUUUCCUUUUUCUGUUUUCUUCUUAUGUUGAUUGAGUCAUUUAGAUGUGCAAUACUUAAGACACAUCUAGACAAACUCAAUAAUAAUCUGUGUCUUACAGAUCUCGAAAUUAGGGAUAUCCAUUUUCUCCAUGCUGUGGACGUUCUCAUGAAAAAGUAAUAAAUUUAGGUGGAUAAUAGCUUCAGGAACCCAGUUUACAUAAUUUAGGAAAAAAAAUUGUUUGCAACAUACAAAAAAUGUCAAAAUUAGACGCCUAGACAAGAUAACUGAUCGCGUAAUUCUCCGAGCCUGAUCACACGCCGUUCUUUCUUCCUGCAAGAGCCAGCGCGUCCCCACGGGCAAAAGGAUGGGCAGAGAGGAACUGGUGGCGGCGAGUGCCAGAAGGUAGACCAACAUGUUAUAGCCGCUUGCACUAUGAGAAGAUCCACUUGUGUCUUCCAAAUCUAUCGCAACAAACAUUUUCCAACAUGGUAUAAUCUCAUCCUCAUUCAGAUCUCUUGGACUUCCUCUUUCGUGAUCCCGACUGUUUUUGUCCUCUUUCCUUACGGCCCACAUUGUCCCCAGCUUCUUUGUGCUUCCGCUGCUUCUUCUUCAACGUAGACUUCUCAGCCUCCCCCUCCAUGAGAUGUUCGUACUCUUCUAGACUUGCAAAUGGAGUUGAGCCGCUCUUUCGCUUUCGCCCACGGGCUGCAGCUGCAGCCUUUACAUCAGUAACAUCAUCAUCUGAAUCGUCAGCACUCUCAAGGGCUUCAGCAUCCAUAAAAGACAUGUUAAGACCAUCUUCAUCGGGGGGUCGUCGUCGUCAUCUGAAAUGUCAUCCAACACAUCAGCAUCACUGUCGUCUCUAAGCAAAUCCCCUUCCUCCUCAAAUGCCUUGGCGUCAAGAUUGUCGUAGUCAUAUUCUCCAUCCUCCGAGGACUCAUCUUCCAGCUCCUGCAUCUCGUCAUCACUUUCAUCACUC